rnacentral:lncRNA from 1 species
UCGACGAGACCUUUGCAAUGGUGUACUCCAUUCUGUGAUUGGUGGAAACACCUGGGUGGGCGCCCAAGGGGGGUGGGCGGGCGCCCUGCCCCCGGGCCUGUUUGCCUUCUCGUUCGUUCCCGUGGCUUCUGGAGUCUUCUAGAUGGUAGAAAAUUGCGCGGUGCGUUGAUAUCUCUAUGUAAUCCCUACAUGUGGGCCUUUCUUCCUUAUUUCCUGAUAACCCCCUGCAGAAAUAGACAAACACCAAAACUCGUGGAAUUCUGACAAAUAAAACCCUUAGUCUAGAUGUUGAUUUCAUGUGGAUCCUUUUCUUUGUUUAUUUGAUAAUUAAAUUUGAUACUUAAGGACCAUCAACAAGCUCCCCCAAGCUUAACCUUUGCUUGUCCCUGAGCAAAGAUGAACUCAAGAGUUUCUGCAGUGGUUUCAUGCCUUAAAGGUAAAUGCGUUCAAACAAGAUCUCAUCUCUAGGUUAGGGUAAACUGUUAAGAUUUUAACUUACUCAUUUUACCUUCCACCAUGGGGUUUGCAACCGUCACUUGUGCCUUGAGCAGUUAAAAGAUAGAACGGUCAAGUCAAGCGCCAUGUCUCUUAUUCUUGAUCAGCUAUAGCUCUAGGGUUUUUGCAAAUUUUCAAAUAAAACUCAGAGAUUCCUUAUAUGACUCUCUCAGAUCUCUCUUUUGUGGUAUUUCUGGAUCCUUACCAAGGUAGUAAUGGUAUAUGCCUUCUCUCAAAGUAUGUGGUAUUUUUGGUAUGAGGCAUAGUGAUAUUGCCUUCUCUCUCACCCUACUCUAAUAAGGUUUUGAUAUUUGGAGCUCAUAGUUGGGAGACAGCUAAUACAUACUUACAAGACAUUUAUUGCAUAGUCAAACCAUGGAUCCAGAGAAACAAGUCAAUAAGUCAAAUCAAGAUGUGCAUGUGUGGCGAGUGAAUGGUGUAUGGUGAUGAUGGUGAUAACAAUGAUGAAAGUCUAAUUCUACUUUUGCUCUUUUAAGGGGAUACAUACCUUUCUUGCACUUUGAAGCUUUUUUGGGGAGAAUGAGAUGCUCUAUAUUUUAUUUUUCUUUCCUCUCAGGUGGGUAUCUUGUACCCCUAAUUCUACUGUCGGACACUUGUCCAUUUUUACCUCUCGCCUCACUUUUUCUUUUCUUCGAGGUUCCGGGCACUUGCCCCUUUUUAUUUCCUCGUAUUAUUUUUUUUUCUUCUUUUUUUUAGAGCACUCAUCUCCUGAAAGAAUGUAGCAAGUGGUAGUAACCAAAAUAACUGGAGCAUUUAUUUCACAGGGAAUAACAGGGAUAGGAAAAUAUUUUUAGCUAUUCUCUCCCGGAUUAGGAGUAGAAUAAUUUUGGGUGAAUGUGGAGAUGGAAAUGAGUGGAUAUAUGUGGAUGGUACUUCCGGAGUAGAAGUAGCAUGUAUGAGUGAACGUGCAAGUGAAUCUUGAUUUUAACCACAUGACAAGCUCCUAAGGGUCUACACAGCUUGACCACACUCAAUGCUCAUAAGCAGUAAAAAGUAAAUAUGUGGCUCAAAGUCUAGCAAGCAUGUAUAUAUGGCUGUGGUAGGAUUUUAAACUCUCAUCAUACAGGAACUCAUCAUGUGUUAUUUUAAAGAUUUUUUUCAAAGAUAAAAUUCUCCAGAAUUCUAGCAUCUCUAGGAACAGAUAAACAGCAGCUCAACCUUCCCAUAUCAUAUCCGUUAACGACUUAGACUUUAGAUCAAGUACUCUUCCCACAAGUUUAGGUUUAGAGCAAGCUUUAAAUUAUAACAGUUAUGCCUAAACUUGAGAGAGAUUUCAAUUUUAAGAACUAGUCAUGGCAGAGCAACUAUUCAUCAUUUCUAUGAGAGAGUUUAUCAUGAGUGUUCAUAGCAAACUUUAUUUAUUUAUUUAUUUAGCAAAUUAAGCAAAGAUAUAUAUAUAAGCAUAAAAUCUUUAUUUGGUUUUUCCUGGUUUAUGUAUAUUUAUAUUUUAAUAUAGUAUAAGUAUAAAGAUAGAUAGAUAGAUAGAUAGAUAGAUAGAUAGAUAGAUAGAUAGAUAGAUAGAUAGAUAGAUAGAUAGAAAUACUUAUCGGGAUAAAUGGGGGUGCUCUCCCCCAAGCUGAAUUUUGACGUAAUUUCUCUUGAUGUAGUUAGCAGGUGGCAAAGGUGUACUUGAAAGUCAGCAGUAUUCUGAUAGCGAUUAAAAUGUCCUCCGUCUGCUAGUCUUCUUGAUUCUUAAAUCCUGUGGAGCUCAAAUAGACAACAAAGCUUUGUGGAACUGGUCAAGUGUUAGCAUAAAUACCUAGCCUUUAUCAUGUUGAGCCUCCUCAAUAAAUAUUAUUUAUUUAGCAGGAUCAUGCACUUAUUAUUUUUAUAUUUUUUUAUUGUAAAAUGAAAACUUAUUUAUUUUAUUUUUAUGCCAUGAGCAUACUCACAGUGAAUGUACUUAUGAGUUUUAUGCCAUGAGCAUACUCACAUGGGGCUUACUAUUUUUUUUUAACAUUUUUAUUUUCUUUUCAAGAUAGCAUGAACCUGAUUAACUAAGCAAACUAUAAUUGAAUAAUUGAAAGGAAAAGGAUAACUACCAAGUUUACCUCUUGGCAAGGUGUUCGGUGUUUUUAAGUCCUCCGAACGGGACUCUCCGUUUUCUCAGUCGUCCUGGGAUUCGCUAGGUGGCGUAGUCGGUGAUUCCGGCGGCGCCUCUCUUCGUGUAUAACUAUCUUCUCUCUCCACACCUGACUCGGUGCUACGGUCUGCUCAGGACAGUUCUAUUCAAGCUGUAUGUCUUCAGUCCUUAUCACUUCUCCUUCGUAGUCUACCCAUCCGUCCUUGAUGAUUUGCCUCCUCUGGUUGCGGUUGCGUUGUCUUCUUCUUGUCCUGACCUGCUUAGAGUCUUCAACUAUAUAGUUAUGGUCAGUAAAAUAGUUGCGUACCUUCUCAGAGGGAAAGUACAUGUGGACUUCUCCGGUUCCAAUGUAGAUGAUGGCUUUGAUAGUGUUGGAGGAACGGUCGUCCAAGGAUGGUAGGUAGAUCGUACUCGUCUUCUUCCAUGUCAAUGUUCUGAAAAUCAUCUGGAGCUGAAUAUAUAUUGGUUGUAGGGGCAUGGUUCCAUGCAGGAGCUGAUAAGUGACUACGGUCAUUACGUUGACGUCACAUCCGGUGUCGUAGAGUGUCUUCUAAAAAGAGUAUCUGUUGAUUGUGCACUCAAUGCUUGGAACACCAGGGUCGUCCUUCUUGAUCAAGAAAGGUGACUUGAGUCGACGAUCUUGACCUCUUACGAUAAGGAUCCAAUGUUUUAAGUCUUCUGGACAAGACUUCUCACUGUCUUCAUCCUUUAGGUGCAUCAUUUGAUUAGGUGUGGACCUUGACGUCUGCACCUCUUGAUACGGUGUCACCUAUGUUCUUUGUUUGCCCAGCAGUUCGAAGUGCGGUGUUGGCAAUAUCCUGCUCAGUGUGUUUGUGCUCAUAGAUCCAGGUCCUUCACUUGGUGGAGUCUAGGAGUUGUAAAACUCCUUCAGGUCUUGCUCGAAGUGUACCUAUUCAUAGAGACAAGGCAGAGAUCAAGUGCAUGGGCCCUGAUGGUGGAAAACACCAACAGAACCAAAAGUAUAUUUAUUCUUCUCUAACCUUAAGCAUAGUGAGCAAGACAAAGUUGAUGGAUAAUAAGAUCAGGAGUGUAGUAUUUAAAACAUUUGUCAGAUCAGAUGGCUCAACCUAAUGGAAAGAUAAUCUAUCUAUAUUUAUGUUUUGUUUAUAUCUUCCAAAGAUUGAAUGUGCGACAUAUUAACUUAUAUGAUUAGGAGUGUGGGAUCACGGAGGUAGUACUAAGAACAAAGAUUAAAGGACUAAACAUGUUGAAUUAAUUGGGUUGAUUAAUUUGGAGCUACAAAUCAUACAUGUUUGUCACUUUUAUUCAUGUGUAUGCCAGAACCAAAGAGAAGCUUAUAAAAGCAAUAGUCAAGUACCUUAAGGUGUUACCUUACUUGAAGAGUGACGGUACAGUAUCACCUUGUGGAAGCUUUCCUUUCUUAGCGGUUGUGCAUCGUGUUUGUGGCACCCUCCAGGGAUCAUCUCUUAUGAGCUACGUCUUCCUUGUGUAAAUUGUUAAACUUCAUGUGUCCCUCUCCUUGUCUCCAAUGUGAGUUUAUCUCAGGACUUCCCAGGUUGAUAUUGAAAGUUUUCCUGCAGGGGUUAGUACAACAAAAUAUCCCAUAUCUACUAUAGCAUACUAUCGGCUCCAAAAUCAACCUAGACACCAUGUCUAAUUUGAUUUAGAAGGGCAUUUUAUCCUAAGCACCACGCUUAAUUUAAAUGCCAUUGGAAGUGUGUCCAGUACUUCCAAACUAACACUUACUAGGAUAAACAAAGGUAGCAUGAUGGCUUUUAUAGAGAUCUACUCAAGUGGAGAUGAAGUAGUGUACUUAACAAAUUGAGCAUGUCUCAAAGGUAAGGACAACCAAUAUAGUGUUGACGGUUCUUAAGUAUCAAUUUUAAUUAUCAAAUAAACAAGAGAAAGGACCAAUAUGCAACCAUGACCUAGAAUUAGGGUUUGAUUUGAUAGAAUUCCACGAGUUUUGUUGUUUAUCUGUUUCUGCAAGGGGUUAUCAGGAAAUAAGGAAGAAAGGCCCACAAGUCGGGAUUACAUAGAGAUAUCAACGCACCGCACGAUUUUACAUCAUCUAGAAGACUCCAGAAGCCACGAGACCGAAGCGGAGGCGAAACUGGGCCAGGCCCAGGGCGCCCGCCCUGGUAGCCUGGGCGCCCACCCCCCUGUUGGAGCCAAAUCAGGACUCUUUCGCUCGGUAUAUUCCACCGACCUAUUGGAUCAAGAAAAACAUAGUACCACCUCGCCUAUCGACCCAAAAACGCAUAGAAGGGGAGGACUAUAUAAGCAAGGCCCCCUAGCCCCUGGAGAAGACAUGAAGAAAUUAUCAUAGAGACUGAGGGGUGCCCUCGAAGGAAAACCUCUUCUCUAAUUAAUAUUUCUUUUUAGGCUUAGCAAUCAAUGUAAGGUAGAAAUAGAUCUUCUAGUUUCUACUAGAUUGAGAGAGAUAGAGUGGAGGUGUAGAGUGGAGGAAGCCCGGCCUGUCGGUGUCUACUCCAAGCUUGUACCUGCGGGAUCAAGUUCUCCUAACCCGAAGCUUGCUCCUAGGAUUCUUCAGUAAUUCGACUUCUAAAUUCUAGUAAGUUCUUGUUUUAUUGUUCUUAUGGUUUAUGAGUUUACUUUAAUCUCUUCGCAUAGAGUUUAGAGUAAUCAUUGCUGGCGUAAACGUGGUGUUUAGGCUGGGGUACUCAUAGAUCUUCCCUGACUAGCUGGACCGUGGUAGUAGUGAGGAACGUGACAAUUCCGAGCUACCUUUGUAGAUCACAUCUCGUUAGCAGGAAGGAUAGGGUUUAUAGGUGCGGGUUGAACAUCCUUUGUGGUGUCUAGAUUCCGUUAGCCUCCCUAUUAGAACAGUAGAUCAUCCUUACCAAGGUUAGAAGGAGACUACGGUUGCAGUCUUCUCUAUUUAUCACUCACAUCGAAAGACAUUCUUUGUGCCUAAAGGUUAGUAGUAAUAGACCGGUUAGUCAGAUGCACUCUUUCUCCUAGUGGUAAAAAAAUAAAUACGAUACUCUGGAUAACCUCCCGGGUGAAGUGCUCACCGAUAUCCGUGCGCUUGCAGAUCAAUUCCUUAUUGCGUUCCCAAAUAUCAACAUAUAGCAGCAUGGAAAGGAUGUUUUAUGUAAAGUACUCCCCCAAAAUUCAAGAUUGGAUGAAUUUAAUUUAAUGUUGCAUGAUGAUUGGUUGGGCAUACCUUGCGCUUGUCAUUCAUUCGAUCUUCUUGCUCCAAUCCUGGAAAGGUUAGUGGCAAGAAUACCUGAAGGAAUAUUUCUAUAAUUAUCUCAAUAUGCUCCAUACACAAGGCAAUGUUGCAAAUAAUUAGAAGUUCAUGUUACGAUCUGAUAAGUGUUUGCUAAGCUUAUCCUUGGGAAACCAUCAAGUUAUGUUGGUGAAGUGGUUUCCCCUCCAACACCUACCUAUAUCAAGAUCAACUCAACGAGAUCUACAACAUUUAUUAUAGACAUAUGCAUCGACAACCACUCUUUUAAAGUUUUUAUAAAUAGAAAGGAAGAGGGGGUUGGAGAUCUCAAAUGUGGUGAUGAUGGAGAGACCGAUUGAUUGGGGAGAUGUUUUAUAUGAGCAAGGACUUGGUAAGGUAUUUAUGAAAUAACUUCCAAGCUCACUGUUGUUUCUCUCAUUCUCAAACUCCAAGGAUGAUUCUUCAUGAAUGCUUAAAAUUCUUCUAGGAUUGUCUCUCAAGUUUGUUUUAUCUAUCCAUUCAAUGGUGAUAGCACAUGGAUUUUUAAUGCCCUUUAGCCAUUGAUGUUGCUCUUCUCGAUCCUCCUUGUGAUCUUGGUGACUCUUAUGCAUGGGAUGUCUAGAGAGAUUCAUAGGAUUAUCGGGAGGUUCAAGAGAAAGAGCAUAGAGAUUAUUAGGCUCAAGGAUGGGAUGGAUAUCCGAAUUAUGGGAUUGAAAUGUUUGGAAAUUGGCUAUGGAAACUUCCUUUCCUCGUCUGGGAGAUGAUUCCUUCUCUAUCUCUAAGAUUUUUCUAUGAAGACUAGUGAAAGAAGGAUGUCCACAAAUGAAGACAUACCUUCAUUUACUAAUAGAUAAAGAAAGAAAGACACUACCAAAUGUUAUAUGAUUAAGACCAAUGUGAAAAUAUUUAGGAAAAACAUGGUCUUGUAGGGCUAGGUCUAAACCAGAAUUUAUAGAAAGAUUAACAGAUUCCCUAGGUGUAGCUAAAAGUGCAUUAUCUUCUUGAUUAAAAGAUAGGACCUCAGCUAUAGAAAAGGGUUGGUUUUGACCUAUUGCAAUCAACUCCGGACACAGAUCAUAAUUAGGGGCAGGACGUGUUGACUCCCAUGGUCUAUGGCUGGUCUCCGAAGGUGCAAAGAAUUCAAUAAUAGGUACGGAAUUUAAGUUAUCCAUAAAGAUAAAAAGAUAAAAGAAUAAAAGUAUAAAAGUAUAAUACAAGAUAAUAGCAAGACUCAAAGUUAUCUCAGCAAACCGUCUUUCUUCCCGGCAACGGCGCCAGAAAUGCUUGUUGAUAUUUGGUAACGCAAUUAGAAAAUGAUCCGCAAGCGCACGGAUAUCGGUGAGCAUUUCACCCGGGAGGUUAUCCAGAGUUAUCGUAUUUAUAUUUUUACCACUGGGAGAAAGGGUGCAUCUGACUAACCAAAUCUAUUGCUACUACCCCUUUAGGCUACAAAGAAUGUCUCUCGAUGUGAGUGAUGUAUAGAGAAGACUACAACCGUAGUCUCGUUCUAACCUUGGUAAGGAUGAUCUACGGUUCUAUUGGGGAGGCCCACGGAAUCUAGACAACACAAAGGAUGUUCGACCCGCACCUAUAAACCUACCCGUCCUGCUAACGAGAUGUGGAAUACAAAGGUAACUCGGAAAUGUCACGUUCCCCGCUACUACCACGGUCCAGCUAGUCAGGGGAUAUCUAUGAGUACCCUAGCCUAAACACCAUGUUUACGCUAACAAGUGAUUACUCUAAUACUCAACCGGAAGAGGAUUAAAGUAAACUCAUAAACCAAAGAACAAUAAAACAAGAACUUACUAGUAUUAGAAGUUGUUGGGUAUUUUAAACGCAAACAGAAAAAUCCGUAAGCGCACGGAUAUCGAUGUAGCCUUCACCCGGGAGUAUUCCAGAGUAUCGAUUUUCCACAGGGAACGUGAGUGUCCUAAUUAAGAUUCAAGAUCGCCCAAGGAUAACUAUAUAAUUAUUUUUUUUUGGUGGGAAGAGAGGAAGUUUCCUGAGAGUUCUCUAGUUGAUCUAAGAAUCAAGAAUUACUUCAAGAUUAUCUAUUUCGGGACAUCAGAGCACUAACCACAGAAAGAGAUGAGAAGGGGGCUAGGAAGGUCUGACUACGGUCCUACAAACACCGAUCCGAACGAGGUGGAAUACGUCGACCGUUAGGGCUGUCACUACCCUAAGGCUACCACAACAAUCCGCAGGAUUGGGUGCAAUUCCAGGUAAUUGCAAGACUAAACACCACGUCUAAUCUAUUAAUUACUACUCUAAUGUUGCAAAGAUUAGAGCACUUGAUGCAAGCGGGAAUCCAAUAAAUAACUUGAAUGUAAAUAAAAGUAAUUAAAGAACUCAGGAUUAUGAAUUGAAGAACCUGGAGAACGAUGAAGAACGAACCAGUUGCGGCAAAAGUACAAUGUUGAGGAAGAUCCGACAGAUCCGGCUCCUCCUCCUCCGCUCUCCUCUUCUCUCUCCCUAUUUUCUUGAUUACAACUAGAACUAACUAGAACUAGAACUAGAGGAACUAGAACUAGAACUAGAUGAACUAGAACUAGAUCUAGAUGAACUAGAGGUAGAACUAGAAGAACUAGAGGGAUCCUCUCUACUUGGAUGAAGAAUUGAAACCCUAGCUUUGAUUCUGUAGAAGAGGUAUGAUCUUCAGGGGCCAGGGGGUCUGGUUUUAUAGUCCCUUCAAGUGAAUCUAGGCCGUCGGAUCAAACCGACAUUGAUCGCAUGGUUUUCCUUGAUCCUUUAGGUCGGUGGAGCAUAAUCCGCGAAACGUGUCCUGAUUGGGCACUGUAGCUGGGCGGGCGCCCAGGAGAGUUGGGCGGGCGCCCUGCCUCCGAGCCCGAUUUCCUUCCCGUUCGUUCCCGUGGCUUCUAGAGUCUUCUAGAUGAUAGAAAAUUGCGCGACACGUUAAUAUCUCUAUGUAAACCCGACGUGUGGGAGUUUCUUCCGUAUUUCCUGAUAACCCCCUGCAGAAAUAGACAAACACCAAAACUCGUGGAAUUCUGUCAGAUAAAACCCUAAUUCUAGGUGUUGGUUGCAUUUGGAUCCUUUUCCAUGAUUAGUUGAUGGUUAAAUCUGAGCAUUAAGGACCGUCAACAGAAGCAAGCCUCGGGUUAGGAGACUUGAUCCCGCAGGUACAACUCGGAGUAGACACCGACAGGCCGGCCUUCCUCCGAUCCACACCUCCACUCUAUCUCUCUCAAUCUAGUAGAAACUAGAAGAUCUAUUUCUACUUUACAUUGGUUGCUAAGCCUAAAAAGAAAUAUUAUUUAGAGAAGAGGUUUUCCUUCGAGGGCACCCCUCAAUCUCUAUGAUAAUUUCUUGUCUUCUCCAGGGGCCAGGGGGGUCUCCUUAUAUAGUCCUCCUCCUCUAUGCGUUUUUGGUUCAGCAGGCGAUGUGGUACUAAACUUUCCACCAUAUCUCAUUAAAAUGCACAUAGGCCUUAAUGGACCAAAAUCUGAUUUGGGCCCAAUUAAUCCCGCAGCUCUUUUAUAUGGAGUCCUUUUAUUAAUAUCUCUUGAUUCCGAACUCCAAAUAUAGCAAAUAAUAUAUGCAUUUCGAUCAGCUCGACAAGAUCUUUGCAAUGGUGUACUCCAUUCUGUGAUUGGUGGAAACACCUGGGCGGGCGCCCAAGGGGGGUGGGCGGGCGCCCUGCCCUCGGGCCCGUUUGCCUUCUCGUUCGUUCCCGUGGCUUCUGGAGUCUUCUAGAUGGUAGAAAAUUGCGUGGUGCGUUGAUAUCUCUAUGUAAUCCCGACAUGUGGGCCUUUCUUCCUUAUUUCCUGAUAACCCCCUGCAGAAAUAGACAAACACCAAAACUCGUGGAAUUCUGUCAAAUAAAACCCUAAGUCUAGAUGUUGAUUUCAUGUGGAUCCUUUUCUUUGUUUAUUUGAUAAUUAAAUUUGAUACUUAAGGACCGUCAACAGUACUCAGCUAGACUUACCCGACAUAAAUUAAAAUAAAGACUCUUCAAGGAUCAUGAAGGCUAUAUAGUGAGGUAGCUGACGACCAUUUUGCAAAACCGCAGAAUUCUAUUAUCAUCACCUAGAUAAAUCUUUUCUUCUUUUAAUUUGCUCAAGUUGAAGGUAUCAUUACCUAUUAUCAAGGUUUUGCACCUGAACUAUUACAAGCAAUUAUAAAGAUAUGAUAGUACCUCAUCAUAGCAUUCAUAAACCAUUUAUCAUUAUAACCCAAGUGCUCCAUAGUCCUUACUACGAGGACGAAGCUCAUGUCAAGUGCUCACUAUCCAGGAGCGAUGGCGAUUCGAAUCGAUUUCUAACCAGCUGGCGAGGUAUUCCCCACACAAACCACACUCACUGAUCAAGUGAGCUACAGAUCACCGUAUUACACUAUCCAGGACCAAUUCGCGGGUUCGGCAGGCACCGCCAGUACCCGAGGACCGUUCCGGCGACCGAGGUAUCCAAGGUAUACCAAGGUUGCGCGCCGCGCCCUCGUCAUUCUCCUCAACCAUCACCAAUACAGCGCAUGGCGGCUCGAUUCCCGGCCCGGAUAGUGUUCAGGCUUCGCGGUCGGAACGGCUUAUCCUUCCAGCUAAGUGUGGGGCAUGCGUUCAACAUGACAAGAGGGCCGUCAACGACCGGUCCUUAAUCGACACAGGCAGAGGCACUAUGGUCAAACCACCAUAAGACCCGGCCUGGUCUCAAAUUCCAUUCCACACUUGGUUAUUCUUUUCCCAAAGCAACCACUGCUUACCCAAGCAGGUAUCCACCUAUAUCUCGCAGGUGACCGGAAAUCACCCGACUUCUACCGGACUAUGCAAGCUAAGCAUCGACUCCGUACCUAUCUACAUAGGACAAGGUAGAUAAAUGAGGGGUGAUAUCAAGGAGUACCAAUGCAUCAACGGUAUCAACCAACUCCUAUCACUUAGAUGCAGUAAUAUAGAACAAGCAUAAUAUAUCCUGUAAGUUAGCGAGAAUAGGGAGACUUAGAAUGCUCUGGGGCUUGCCUUUCUCAAACAUGCUGGCUCGGUGAUGCGGACACUCCUGCAGUUCCUCUCUGGACUCCUGUGCUUCCGGAGGUUCCUGCUCGUGAAUCUCCUCUGGUUCCUCGGGUCCCACCUCGUUCUCCUGCGAGCCUGUAUGAUGCAUGUGUGCUCAUGAGUGGAGUGCGAGAUGCCCGAGUGGAUGCUUGUAUGAGAAGGUACCAAAGGAUCAUGACAUGAUGCAUAGAUGAUACACUUGGUCAUGCUCAUUACAAGGUAGUCAACAUCAUCCAGGAACAGACAAUUGGACUAAACAUCUAGUGCAUUCUCUUCUACAAGUAUUUUUCAAGUGUGACCAGCAACCCACAAGUUGCUUCAAAGAUACACCAAACCCAAACUUAUUCUAUUCAACCUAUACAUACAACAAUUCAUAAUUUUCUUUAUUCAUUUCUAGGCCCAUUAAAUUUACAUGCAGUUCUGUUCAUGAAUAAAUUCCUCAAAAAUCACAGGAGACUACCAGUCAAGCAUAAAGUCUACUGUAAAUUUUUCAUAAUUUUUGGAUACUUAUUUUGAGCUACAAAAAUCACAGGAUUAAUUAAUAAGGUAAGUAUAAUCACUCUACUGUGAUAUAAGUGUCAAACAACAGAUUUCAUAUUUUUACAAUUUGUCUAAUAUCAUAAGAUACACCCACAAAAUUUUCCAGAUUUAUUGCAUGAUCCAAUUAAUUUUUAAAAAUCAUAAACCACUGCCAUGCAAGCAUUUAAAUUACCAUAAAUUCAUUUAUACACCAAAUAAUAUGUAGCAAUAUUUUCCCAGUGAGUAAACAUACAUGCAGAGCCAACAAAUCAAGUUUCACAUUUUUCUCAACCAUAUUUUAAUUACUAUGCAUUUUCAAAGUUUAGCAAAAAACAUGGAUUAAAUAUUUUCAUACAGAAAAGUUACUCAAACAUGACAUGCAAUUACAUCAAACUGUAGAUCUGGAAAUAUAGAGCACACCAAAAUUUAUUUCAUCAAAUUUCGAGCUGUAGAACUCAAGAUAUGAAUUUUAAAACUUUCGAAUCGAUUUCUGGAAAACAUUUAUUCAAGAAAACCGACGAAAAAGGCUAAACACACCCUGAUCUACACCCACCGGGGUCCCCCUGUGACUGACAGUGGGCCUCUGGCCCCACUGUUCAGCGAGACUGAGAGGGAGCUCACCUCCGACGAGCAGAUCUCGCCGGCGGUGAGGUCCCCGGCCACGGGGUGAGCACCAACGUGCUCCCCGCAGCGAGGCGCACCCAGCGGUACUCUCGGAUUGACCGGAGGAUGGCCGGAGCACCUCCGACGAGCGUGCAUGGUGGCACAGCGGCGCUGCUCGCCGUGGCCAGGCCGCUCGGGCGUGGUAGAGCGUGCGCAUACGGCUCUCCGAGCUUCCUCACCACCCUACCGACCUAGCGCAACCAAAAACCAGCAAAAAGAGGCAGGGAAACGCAAGAUACGUCGCGGCGGAGUACUCCGGCGAGCUCGGGGUAACUCCGGCGAGCUAUUCACGGCGCUCGAUGGACUCUCACCUCGGUAGAACGCUCGCACAAGCUUACCCUAACGAUGGCAAAGGCGCUGGUGGCUUCGGUGUCGAGUUUUGGUCACCGGAGUGGCCGGCGGUGAGCAGCGGAGCUGCUCCGGCGAUGGCGCCGCGGCGGAGUUCUACGGCUCGGUUGCGCUCGCGAGCGGAGGGAGGAAGGAGAAGGGCGUGGGCGACAGGAUGGAGGGAAUGGCCUGGGAGCCCGAGCCGGCGUCCCGACCAGGGGGUGUUGGAGGCCGGCCGCGGCGCGCUCCUCGCCAGCGUACGGCCGCCAUGUGGCCGACGCUGGCUGGGACGAGGCGCGUCCGCGCGCGGGAGAGAGGGGGAGGGGGAAGCAGGCCGGGCCGCUCGCUGGGCCGAAAGGGAGGCGGGGUUGGCCCGGCAGCGCCUGCCCCUUUUCAUUUUUUUUUGAAUUUCUUUUCUCCAAAUCCUUUCUAAAUUCAUUUGGACCAAUUUAAAAUCAUUUUCACCUCUUGCUCCCAAAAACAAAGUUGUUCCAAAACAAAAACCCCACAACUUUGUUUUAAUAAGCAAGACCAAAUUCCCAACAGAAUUUGAAUUACAAAUUAAAACUAGUUCUAGGUUUUCAAAUAAAUUCAAUUUGGGGAUUUUUGUAUAAAUUCCAUUUCUCAAAUUCUAUAGCUCCAAAAAUUGCACAAAAAUAUUCUUAAUUCUUCUUACACAUAAUUCAACCUAGUUUGAAUAUUUCACAUUUUUAGAAGCAAGCAUCAUAUUUUUAGCAUAAUUAAAACACAUGAAAUAAAGCACACAAAAUCAUGUUUUUGGGAUGAAUGACAUGCUCAUGAUGCUAUGCUUGAUGAGAAUGCUUAUGCAUGUUGUAAUAGGGCUAAAUGCAUGCUUAACACCUAGGGUGUUACAGGGGCCAUUGCUCAGGCUGGCAAGGCUAUCGAGGAUCUCCGCGUUGCCAACACUGUGCUGGCCCGCUCCACCAAAGAGAUCGAGAGGGCCAACACCAGACUAGUUGGCGAGAACACGGCCUUGGAGGAGAGUGUCCGUAGUACGUUUCCUCUGUCGGAUUUCUUUUUUGAGGUGUGCUUGGUUUUUCCUAAAGUUUCUUGUAUUGGCAUUUACAGGGCUUAAGGACGAACUCUUAGCCACCCAAGUUGAGGCCCGUAGUGCUAAGGCCCAGCUCGAGGCGGAGGUUGCUUUGAACCGUCGAGUGCGGACGGCGAUAAACGACCUCUCGACCUCUUGGGAGGUCGAGCCUAUGGACGAGUCGAAGGAGGUCGAGCCUAUGGUCGACCAGCUGUGCUACUUAGGCGCGAUGCUGAGAGAUCGGGUGCGGGAUGCCCUCCACAUCGGGGUGAAGCGGGCGAUGGCGGUUGUCUGCUCGGGCUUCACCUACGACAUGGAGGUGGUGUCCCACGGCUUCGUCACCGACAUCUCCAUGACCGACGCGGAGAACGAAGAGAGGCUCCAUGCCUUGAUCGACGACGCGGAGGCUCCUGGAGAGAGGCUGGCCAAGCUUUCUGAGCCUGAGGUGCUUCCUCCUGAGACUAGCUCGGGCGCAGGCGAGGGUGGUGAGGAUCGUGCUGUAGACUAAGGCCUGCGAGCCUUCUUUGGGUGCUGGGGGCCCCUUGUAUAGUACUCCUAUUAACUUGUUUUUAAGGGAUAUGGUGUCUUUAAGUAUUUGUUAAAUGUUUAUCUGUCUUUCCGCUCAAGGCUCUUUUAUUUCCCUUUGCGCCUACGUUUGUAUUCCUCGUUCGAUCUUUUGUCAAAAACAGCCUGGAUCACCUCAAGGGUGGGGAAGUGAGUAGAGUUUCCAUAGCCUGGGGGCGUAGGAGUUCUCAGGCUUGUUGUCCCUCGUCCCUUAAGGGGCUGGAGGCACCUCAACUUACUCGAACGUGCAAGGUUUACUAGGUUUCUUGGCUUUUUCGACACUUGGGGGGGUCGCCCCCCCUGGUAGCCCCCGAGGGAGUAUCGACUAUGAUGGGUCAUAGUUGGUACUCCCUUCUGACGUCGAGAUUUGAGAAAGUAAAUCGCUCGAGGGAAAGACUUCAUUUAUUCAUACAUUCAUUUACAAGGCCUUGGUACAGAAUGUACGUAGGAACAUAAAGUUUUGAACUUCUAGGGGUAGAAUCGACGUAGCUGUUCGAUGUUCCACGCGUUGGUGAAGAUCGUCCCCUUUUCAUCCGCGAGCUUGUAUGUCCCUGGCUUCAGGACCUCGGCCACCACGUAUGGGCCCUCCCAAGGUGGAGUCAGCUUGUGGCGUCCUUGAUUACUUUGCCGGCGUCGUAGGACAAGGUCGCCCACGUUUAAGUCCCUCUUGCGCACGUGGUUGUCGUGGUAGCGUCGAAGUCUCUGCUGGUAUCUGGCAGAGUUAAGGAGGGCCAUGUCUCGAGCCUCCUCGAGUUGGUCGACCAUGUUUUCUUGAGUCUCCUUAUUUGAUUGCUCGUUGUACGCUUUAAGUCGAGGGGACCCAUACUCGAGGUCUGUGGGGAGGACGGCCUUAGAGCCAUAGACCAUGAAGAAUGGGGUGUAUUUUGUGGCCCUGCUUGGUGUUGUCCUUAGGCUCCAUAGGACCGAGGAAAGCUCCUCGACCCACUUUUUGCCGAAUUUCUUCAAGCGAUUGUAGAUCCUUGGCUUGAGUCCUUGUAAAAUCCUACCGUUGGCACGCUCGACCUGGCCGUUAGUUCGAGGGUGGGCUACUGCAGACCAGUUCACACGGAUGUGAUGCUGAUCGCAGAAGUCCAAGAACUUUUUGCCGGUGAACUGAGUGCCGUUGUCGGUGUUGAUGACGUUGGGAAUCCCAAACCGGUGGAUGAUGUCGGUGAAGAAAAGGACGGCCUGCUCGGAGCGGAUGUUGGUGAUGGGUCGAGCCUCGAUCCAUUUGGAGAAUUUGUCGAUGGCCACGAGCAAGUGGGUGUACCCUCCUUUCGCCUAUUGUAGGGGCCCUACUAAGUCGAGCCCCCACACCGCAAAUGGCCAUGUAAUGGGGAUCAUCUGAAGAGCGUGGGCGGGCAGAUGCGUCUGUUUGGCGUAGAACUGGCACCCAUGACAUGAGCGUACGAUCUUGAUGGCAUCUGUUACGGCCGUUGGCCAGUAGAAGCCUUGUCCGAAGGCGUUACCUACGAGGGUCCGUGGAGCGGCGUGGUGGCCGCAAGCCCCCGAGUGUAAGUCCUCGAGGAGUUUCCGGCCUUCUUCCACGGUGAUGCAACGCUGCAAGACCCCCAUCGGGCUUCGUCGAUAUAGCUCAUUGCCUUCGCCAUAAAUCACAUAUGACUUGGCCUGUCGAGCGAUACGGCGGGCCUCAGACCGAUCUUCUGGCAGCUCGCAGCGGAUUAGGCAGUCGAGGAACGGUGUACGCCAGUUGAGCGGUCGACCGGGCCGCUGUUCUACCUCCAUCACCUCAACUGCCAUCAAUGGUGCGUCGACGGUGUCGGUUGGCUGGGCGAGAGCGGCAUCGACGCCAGCCCCCAAGCCCAAGUCGACGGAUGGCUCGUGAAGAUCUUUCGAGAACGCGUCAGGUGGUACCGUGCCUCAGGUCGACGCGAUCUUGGCGAGUUCGUCGGCUGCCUCGUUGUAGCGUCGGGCGACAUGGACGAGCUCGAGGCCAUGGAAUUUGUCCUCGAGUCGACGGACUUCUUUGCAGUAUGCCUCCAUUUUCGGGUCGUGGCAGCUUGAAGUCUUCAUCACUUGGUCGAUGACAAGUUGGGAGUCGCCUCGGACGUCGAGGCGUCGGACCCCUAGCGCGAUGUCGAUCUUGAGACCGUUGACGAGGGCCUUGUAUUCUGCGACAUUGUUGGAUGCGGCAAAGUGAAUCCUGAUGAUGUACCUCAUAUGGACGCCCAAGGGCGAGAUGAAUAGCAGGCCGGCCCUGGCCCCCAUCUUCAUGAGUGACCUGUCGAAAUACAUCAUCCACAGCUCCGACUGGACCUGAGUUGGGGGAAGCUGGGAGUCUGUCCAUUCCGCGACGAAGUCUACCAGAGCUUGCGAUUUGAUGGCCUUGCGAGGCGCAUAAGUGAGAGUCUCACUCAUGAGCUCGACCGACCAUUUAGCUAUUCUUCCCGUGGCCUCCUUACUCUGGAUUAUCUCACCCAGGGGGAAAGAUGAGACCACCAUGAUAGGGUGGCCGAGGAAGUAGUGCUGCAGCUUACGGCGGGCGAGGAUUACGGCAUAGAUCAGCUUCUGGAUUUGGGGGUAACGUCCCUUGGUCUCUGAGAGCACCUCGCUGUCGAAAUAUACUGGCCUCUGGACUGGCAACGCAUGCCCCUCCUCCUGCCUUUCGACCACCACCACUGCACUGACAACCUAGGUCGUCAAGGCAACAUAAAGGAGCAGUGGUUCCGCAGGUUGAGGUGGGACUAUGACUGGUGCUUAGGUCAGUGUUUUCUUCAGAUUUUCGAGGGCUCCCUCGGCCUCGGGGGUCCAAGAAAAACGAUCGACCUUCUUCAGGAGUCGAUACAGCGGUAGCGCCUUUUCUCCUAAUCUCGAGAUGAAACAGCUCAGCGCCGCUAGGCAUCCCGUGACUCUCUGCACACCCUUGAUGUCUCGAAUCGGCCCCAUCCUUGUGAUGGCUGAGACUUUCUCGGGGUUGGCCUCGAUGCCGCGCUGGGAAACAAUGUAGCCCAAGAGCAUGCCUCGUGGCACACCGAAAACGCAUUUCUCGGGAUUCAGCUUGAUCUGGUUGGCGUGUAAGCAGCUAAAGCGAUCUUGAGGUCCUGGAUCAGGUCUCCUUGACGCUUUGAUUUGACGACUAUGUCGUCGACAUAGGCCUCGACCGUCGACCCUAUAUGCUUGCCAAAUACGUGGAGCAUGCAACGUUGGUAUGUGGCUCCCGCAUUUUGAAGCCCAAACGGCAUGCUUACAUAGCUGUACAUCCCGAGAGGUGUGAUGAAAGAGGUCGCGAGCUGGUCGGACUCUUUCAUUUUUAUUUGAUGGUAACCAGAAUAUGCAUCAAGAAAAGAAAGGGUUUCACAUCCCGCAGUAGAAUCAACAAUUUGAUCAAUACGUGGUAAUGGAAAGGGAAUUUUCGGACAUGCUUUAUUUAAACUCGUAUAAUCGACACACAUCCUCAUUUUCCCAUUCUUUUUCUUAACUAGUACAGGGUUUGCUAACCAGUCAGGAUGAUGAACCUCCUUGAUGAAUCCGGCCGACAAAAGCUUGUGGACCUCCUCGCCAAUGAUCUUGCACUUCUCCUCGUCGAAUCGGCAUAACCGUUGCUUCACUGGCUUGGAACCGGCUCGAAUCUGCAAGGAGUGCUCGGCGACCUCCCUCGGUAUGCCUGGCAUGUCCGAGGGACUCCAUGCAAACAUGUCGGCGUUCGCAUGGAGAAAGUCGACGAGCACAGCUUCCUAUUUGGGGCCGAGGUCGGCGCUGAUCGUCAGCACCUUGCCGUCGGAGUUGUUGGGGUCGAGCGGGAUCUUCUUGGUUCCCUCUGCCGGCUCGAAGCUGCCCGCGUGGUGUUUGGGCUCUGGAGCCUCAGCGGCCAGGGCCUCGAGUUUUGCGACGAGCUCGGUGGAGUUCUCUACCGCCUCCCCAUACUCGACGCACUCGAUGUCGCAUUCGUAAGCGUGCUCGAAGGAGGAGCUGAUAGUGAUGACGCCUUUGGGACCGGGCAUCUUCAGCUUCAAGUAGGUGUAGUUGGGUAUAGCCAUGAACUUUGCGUAGCCCGGGCGCCCGAUGAUGGCGUGGUACGUGCCCCGGAACCCGACCACCUCAAAGGUGAGGGUCUCCUUCCUGAAGUUGGCCGCCGUGCCAAAGCAGACCGGUAAGUCGAUUCGACCUACUGGCAGCGCCUUUUUCCCUGGCACAACGCCGUGGAAACCACCGGCGCUUGGUUGAAGCCGUCCCCUGUCGAUGCCAAGGAGGUCGAGGGUCUCGAGGUAGAUGAUGUUGAGGCUGCUGCCUCCGUCCAUUAGCACCUUCGAGAGCCUGGUAUUGACGAUGAUGGGGUCGACGACGAGCGGGUAGACGCCUGGGGCAACCACCUUGUCGGGGUGAUCCUCUCGGUCGAAGGUGAUGGGUGUGCUCGACCAGCUGAGGUACUGGGGCACCGCCAUUCUUGCCGCGAAGACCUCACGACGUUCCCUCUUGCGCUGCCUUGCAGUCAACUGCGUCGAGGGCCCACCAUAGAUCAUGUAGCAGUCGUGGACGACAGGGAAACCAUCGUCGUCCUUGUUGCCCUCCUUGUCACCACCCUUCUCCUUCUUGGGGUCGUCGUGCGCGUCCUUUCUGAACCCUAGGCCGUCGAAAUGCUUUUUCAGCAUACGACAGUCCUUGAGCUUGUGGUUGGCUCCUCCUUUGUGGUAAGGGCAUGGUUCCUCUAGCAUCUUAUCGAAGAUACCUCCAUAUAGGGGGGCCUUGAGGCUUCUUCCGCUCCAUGGCGGCGAUGAGGUCGUCGUCGAAGUUCUCCUGCUUGAACUGCCGCACCUUCUACUUCUUCUUGUUCUUCUUGAGCCCUCGACUAGGGGUCUCGUCUUCAUCGGCGGGCUGCUUGCCUUUCCUUCCUUCACAACUGAAGAAGGCACCGACUGCUUCCUCCCCUGCUGCGUAGUUUGCCACUACGUCCAUGAUCUCAUCGACGGUCUGAGGUCGGUUCCGACCCAAUUCCCGCACCAAGUCUCGACUGGUGGUACCAGAGACAAAUGCCAGGAUGACGUCGUGGUCGGGGAUAUGUGGCAGCUCGGUGUGCUGUUUUGAGAAGUGUCGAGCAUACUCUCAAAGAGUUUCUCACGACUUCUGCUUGCACUUGCUGAGGUCCCAUGAGUUCCUGGGCUGUAUGUAGGUCCCUUUGAAAUUACCCUCGAAGACACUAACCAAAUCGACCCAGUCGUGGAUCUGAUUUGCUGGGAGUUCCUCGAGCCACCGAUGGGCACUGUCGGAGAGGAAGAGUGGUAGCUGUCUGAUGAUGGCUCGAUCAUCUCCUCGAGCGCCUCCUAGCUGACAGGCCAGCCUAAAAUCGGCCAGCCACAACUCUGGUUUGGUCUCGCCAUUGUAUUUCGCGAUGCUGGUUGGGGGUCGGAAUGGACUGGGCAGGGGCGUGCUGCGGAUUGCCCUGCUGAACACCCGUGGGCCUGGUGGCUCGGGGGCCAUCCGGUCCUCGUCGCUGUCAUACCUCCCACCGCGGUGUGCGCUGUAACCGCGCUCUUCCGCAUCCCCAUACCGACGGCGUCGAUUCUCUUCGAUGUCAUGCCGCACGUCGUGUCGACGUUGAUUGUCGACAGGGAGGACGAGAGUGGCCUUUCUUCCUCGAGGGGGAGGCUGUUGAUGGACUGACACCUCCUUUUCGUUUUGGGGCGGCUCAUCGCGCUUUUCAGUGGCGGCUCCUCGUCGUCGAGAAGCCCAGCUUUCGGCUUGUUGAACCGCCGCUACCUGGAGCAGAGUCUGCACCUCGUCUCGAAUGCGUCGAGCUUGGGAAUUUGAUGGCUCUGGCAUGUUGCAUAGCAGCAUUGUUGCUGCCACUACGUUCUGGCCUGCUCGAGAGAAGCGGCUGACGGGUUGCUCUGGCUCCACGUCUCCGACGAUUUGCCGGUGUACCUCUCGAGCUCGCCUACAGACACUUCCGCCGGGCGGGUAAGGCAAGUCUUGUUCGAGGAUUUGCUCAAGCAGGACGAGGUGCUCACGGUCUUCGUCGAGCUUUGUCUUGAGCUCUCAUAGUUGCGCAAGCUGCACAGCCCUGUCUUCCUAUGGAAGUGGAUCGACCUAUCCGCCGUUCCCAGGCGUCCUGGGGUCUUCCCUUGCUGCGGGGGCUCGACCGCCCGCAGCUGCGUCCUGCGUCUCGUCGGUAGUUAUCUCGUCAGUAGUAAAAUAUAAUCAUCAAAUAAACAAAGAAAAGGAUCUAAAUGAAAUCAACAUCCAGACUUAGGGUUUUAUCUGACAGAAUUCCACGAGUUUUGGUGUUUGUCUAUUUCUACAGGGGGUUAUCAGGAAAUACGGAAGAAAGGCCCACACAUCGGGAUUACAUAGAGAUAUUAACGUGCCGCGCAAUUAUCUUACAUCUAGAAGACUCCAGAAGCCACGAGAACGAAGCGGAGGCGAAACGGCGCCUGGCCCUGGGCGCCCGCCCAGGAGACCAGGGCACCCGCCCCCUGUUGGAGUCCAAUCAGGACACCCUUUUGGGAUUACGCUCCACCGACCUAAAGGAUCAAGGAUAACCGUUCAAUCAAUAUCGGUUUGAUCCAACGGCCCAUAUUCACUCGAAGGGACUAUAAAACCAGAACCCGUGGCCCCUGGAGGAGAGAGCCUCUCAACCCUAAUUCAUUAUUCCUCAAGGGAGAAGAAGCCUCUGAUCAAGCCUAGAGCCACCACAUCAAUUAGACAUCUAGAUUAGCAUAGCUACAUAGGAUUAGAACUAGAAGGAGUCAAUCUUCGAUUGGUUUCCGGAUCUGUCAAGAGGAUUCUUGGUAAUUCUCUAAUUGUUCUUCUAAUUGUUCAUCAUUGUUCUUCAAUAUUAUGAAUAUGACUUUGCUCUACUUCAAUAUAUUGCUUAUGACUUUGCUCUACUUGUUUAUAUUCAAGAUUAUAUUGUUCUUAGUUUAUCAUAGUUAUAUACUUGGCUUAGUUAGAUUGGAUCUAUAUACAUGUUUAGGAUCGUAUAGCAUUUAUCUAUUGGAUCCAUGGGUAAAUGAUAGAUAUUGUGUAGGCGUGGUGCUUAUACCGUAUUUAUCUGCGAUUGUACCCAAUAUGCCAGAUCAUGGGGUAGUUCGUGAUAGUGACAGUUUCAUUGAUUCUUAUAUAGUCCCCCUCUCGUGUAUUGGGCUGGCAGAGCAACAUUAUUAUAGGGGAGUGAUUAUGAUGUUUCACAUAUUCCUUGCUAUAUCACUAUGCAUGGGCGUAGUCCUGUCUCGCAAUGAUUGCUAAGUAUACUUGCACUAACUAUGAUAAUGCUAGACUGUAUAGUUAAGAAUAACUUAGGAAAUAUUCUGUGGCUAAGUUAUGCUAAUCAGAUUAAUUAUCUUUGUCACUAUUCAUUACUUUAUAUAUCCUUUAUGUGACACUUAUCCCUGUAUGAAAGAGUUAGAUAAAUGUUCUCAAUUAUACAUGCAAUGAUAGAUGCUCAAUCUUAUAUUCCAUUCUAUAAUCAACAUUGAUGGUUACUAAUCCCUUCCCAGUGGGAAAAAUAUAAAUAACGAUACCUGGAAUACUUCCCGGUUAAAAUGCUACAUCGGUAUUUAUUUAGAUGAGCAAUUGCAUAUUUCAAUACCGCGUCUCUUAUGUCAUGCUGGGGAUGACAACUUGGCUUAAGUGGCAUGGGAGAUAGUUUUGGCAUUUUUGGCGCCGUUAUCAGAAUGAGAAAACUAAGUCUACUUUUGGUAAUGAUGUUAAGAAUACCCAGCAAUAUCCUGAAGGAAGGGAACCUCUACUACUAGAGAACAAACCUUUCAUCGAUGUGCCAAAUGAGCUUUAGUCCUAGCAUUUUUGGCGCCCGGGACAAAAGAGAUCUUUAGUCCCGGUUGGUAACGCCAACCGGGACUAACGAUCCCUCCCCAACGGCUCCGGUGUCAGGCGCUGUCGGGGAGGGACCUUUAGCCCCAGUGGAUGUUACCAACUGGGACUAAACACCUACCUUUAGCCUCGGUUUGUUCCACUAACUGGGACUAAACCUUUUGUCCCGGUCGUUGGCACCAACCGGGGCUAAAGGUAGGUGUUUAGUCCCGGUUGGUAACACCAACCAGGACUAAACCCUCCCCGCUAUAAAUUGAAUCUCCCUCCUCCCUUCUUGCACUCCCUGCCCGAGCCCGUGGUCCUUUAUUCUUGCUUGUUCUUCCAUUGUUCUUGCUUGUUAUUGCUCUCAUCUUCCGCGAUCGAUCCAUUUCAACGCUUCUACGCCGUUGUCGAUUUGUUUGAAAGGUUGCUAGCUUCAUCCUCCUAUGUUUCUCACCGCCAUAUGUAAUUUCAUGUUGGACAUAUGGCUAUUUUAAUUAUUUCAUGUUGCUAUCUCUCCAAUCAUCAUCUUCUCAUGUUUGAAUUUUUUUGAACGAUGCUAAGUGUGUGCCCGCUAGAAACUAGUGUACACAAAUCAUUACUACUAUGUAUACACAAAUCAUGUUUAGUUCUAUUAUAGAUAUUAUAGGAUAUUUUUACUUUAAUAUGGUCAUGUUCUUAUUUUAAAAUAUAUUUGUUGGACCAAACAUGGAGAGACUGGGUUAUGAUGGAAGAAGGUGAAGAAGAGCAAGCGUACCCUGACGAUGUUUUUGCUCAAUACUGCGACUUCGCGGUAUAGGACAAAGGUGAAGAAGACGGGGAUGCAGGAAACAGUAUCAUUGAUGAUGACGAUGCUCUUGGUGAUGUCAUUCACGACGUACAGAGAAAUUGCAAAAGUGCAAAGGAGAAGGCUAAAUUUGACCAAAUGCUAGAGGAUCACAAGAAGCUACUCUACCCAUCGGCCGAAGAGGGACAAAAAAAGCUAGGCACGACACUAGAGUUGUUACCAUGGAAGGCAGAGAAUGGUAUUUCUGACAAUGCAUUUGGAAAAUUACUCAAGAUCCAAAAAAAGAUGCUUCCGAAGCCUAAUGAGUUACCCACCACUACAUACGAAGCAAAAAAGAUCGUCUGUCCUUUGGGGUUACAAAUCAAAAAGAUACAUGUAUGCCCUAAUGACUACAUCCUAUACCGUGGCGAGCACGAGAAAUUAGAUGACUACCCUGUUUGCCAUGCGUCACAGUACAAGAUCUUGCGGGAUGACCCUGGCGAUGUUGAGGAUGAAGAACGUCCGAGGAAGAGAAUCCCUGCCAAGGUUAUGUGGUAUGCUCCAAUAGUUCCAUGCCUAAACAUUUGUUCAGAAAUAAGGAGCAUGCAAAGUUGUUGCGAUGGCACAAACAAGACCGUAAGGUGGACAACAUGUUGAGACACCCUGCAGAUGGUUCUCAGUGGAGAGGAAUCGAUAGUGAAUUCCAAGACUUUGCGGAGGACGCAAGAAACCUAAGGUUCGCAUUGAGUACGGAUGGAUUUAAUCCUUUUGGGGACCAGAGCUCUAGUCAUAGCACCUGGCCCGUUACUCUAUGUAUCUACAACCUUCCUCCGUGGUUAUGCAUGAAGCAGAAGUUCAUUAUGAUGCCGGUGCUCAUCCAAGGUCCGAAGCAACAUGGCAACGACAUCGAUGUUUACCUGAGGCCAUUGGUUGAGGAACUCCAGCUUCUAUGGAGCAAACCAGGUGUGCGUAUGUGGGAUGAGUACAAACAGGAAGCAUUCGACCUACGAGCAUUAUUGUUCAUGACAAUCAAUGAUUGGCUAGCUCUAAUCAAUCUUUCAGGAUAGACAAACAAGGGAUAUAAUGCUUGCUCCCAUUGCUUUGGUGACGUUCAAGCUAUCUAUGUGAAAAAAUGUCGAAAGGUUGUGUAUCCUGGCCAUCGUUGAUUUCUUGCUAAGAACCACCAGUUGAGAAAGAAAGGCGAACAUUUUAAAGGUAUGAGAGAACACUGGUCCAAGCCAUGCAACUGAGAUGGGGUAGAGGUAUUCGAGAUGGUCAAAGAUUUGAAUGUACUAUUUGGAAAGGGAGAAGGCAGCAAACCUGUUCCGAAAGACACUUCGGGGCGUGCCCCAAUGUGGAAGAAAUAGUCAAUAUUUUGGGAGCUACCAUAUUGGAAACACCUUGAGGUCCGCCACUCCAUCGACAUGAUGCACCUGACAAAGAAUCUUUGUGUCAAUCUCCUAGGGUUUAUGGGUGUGUUUGGAAAGCCUAAGGAUACCCUUGAGGCUCGAGAGGACUUAAAGCGCAUGAAAGAACGAGACAACCUGCAUGCAAAGCAGACAGAUGAUGGACGCCAGUAUUUUAAGACCUGCUAGCUACACUCUUAGCAAUGAGGAGAAGGAAAUCAUGUUUGAGUGCCUAAGCAGCAUCAAGGUCCCAUCUGGGUUCUCCUCCAACAUAAAGCUUAUAAUAAAUGUGCCAGAGAAAAAAUUUGUCAACUUAAAAUCGCACGACUGCCACGUGAUUAUGACACAACUGCUUCUGGUUGCCUUAAGAGGAAUUCUACCUCCACAUGUACGUCUGGCCACCGUGAAGUAGUGUGCAUUCCUCAAUGCAAUUUCUCAGAAGGCAAUAAAUCCUCUUGAUCUAGCUACUCUACAGAACGAUGUAGUUCAAUGUCUUGUCAGCUUUGAGUUGGUGUUUCCUCCAUCUAUCUUUGAUAUCAUGACACAUCUCCUAGUUCACCUGGUCAAAGAUAUUAAUAUCCUGGGUCCUAUCUUCCUACACAACAUGUUUCCCUUAGAGAGAUUUAUGGGUGUACUGAAAAAAUAUGUUCACCAGCGGGGUCGGCCAGAAGGAAGCAUCAUCAAGGGAUAUGGGAUAGAGGAGGUCAUUGAGUUCUGUGUGGACUUCAUUCCUGAUCUUGACCCGAUUGGUCUUCCUGAAUCAAGGUAUGAGGGGAGACUCGGUGGAAAAGGGUACACUAGGAAAGAAAACAUAUAUCAGCCAGAGUGAUGAUUUAUUCCAUAAAGUGCACUACACAGUCCUUCGAAACUCCAUUGUGGUGGAACCCUAUAUUGAGGAACAUAUGGAUUUUGUAUGAUCCGAGAAUCCUAGAAAGAAUGAGACUUGGGUUAUGCGUUAUCACAUGGAAACAUUCGGUGACUGGUUGUGAAAAAAAUGCCAAGGUGAUAAAGAUAUUGUAGAUGAACUUUAUUUGUUGGCUAGGCAACCAGCGUGGCACGUCAUCACGUACAAAGGAUACGAGAUAAAUGGAAAUACAUUUUACACCGUAACACAAGAUAAAAAGAGUACAAACCAAAACAGUGGUGUCCGUGUGGAUGCCACUGACAUGAAUGGGGACAGGCACACAUAUUAUGUUCGUAUAGAGGAGAUUUGGGAACUAGACUAUGCACAUAAUUUUAAAGUCCCUUUAUUCCGAUGCCAAUGGGUGAAGAUGAAAUGAGGGGUAUUGAUCGAUAAGGAGUACGGAAUGACAACAGUGGACCUCAACAAUAUUGGAUAUACAAACGAUCCAUUCGUCCUUGGUACUAAGGUGAAUCAAGUGUUCUAUGUGAAAGACAUGUCUACAAAACCCAAGAGAGGGAAACAAGAUGAGAAAAACACAAACGAGCCAAAGCGCCACAUCGUUCUUACAGGGAAAAGAAACAUCGUGGGAAUUGAAGACAAGUUAGACGUGUCAGAGGAUUAUGAAAAGGAUGAACGGAUCCCACCCUUCUGUGUGGGCAAAGACCCAAGCAUCAUGCUCGCUGUAGAGGACACUCCAUGGUUACAGAAUAUUCAUAACCAAGGGCAUUACGUUAAGAAAAAUUUUACCAUUGUGCUAGCUUGAUAAUGGUAGUGAUUUGUACUUGACAUCUUGUGUAAUAUAAUUGUAACAUUAUGUGUAAUAUAAUUCUAACAUCUUGAUAAUGUGGAUUUUGAACUACACUUUGCCAGCACUUUGUGAAAUGCAAAAAUGGUCUAUAUAUGAAAUGUAGAUCUUGAUGAGUGGAGCAAUAUUGGUAUUCAUGAGUUUUCCAUUUGAGGCCAUCCGUGGUUCCAAAAAUUAGCGUUUUGCUAUGAAUUCUUUCAAAUUUCCAAAUUGAGUGGUCCAACUUUUUCAAAUGAAAAUGUGACCAUUAGAGAAAAUGUAGACCCUGAUGAGUGGAACAAACUUUGUAUUCAUGAGUUUUCCAUUUGAGGCCAUCUAUGGCUCGGUCAAAGUGUGUGUUUGUGAAACCCACUGUUUUGACUUUGGUCAAACUUGGUCAAAUGACCCAUCUGAGGACUUCAAAUGGAAAACUAUUGGAUACCAAGUUGUUAGAGCUCAUCAACACCUACAUUUCAUACAUGGACCAUAUUUUCAUCCGGAUAAAUUUGAUCGAGUCCCAGUCACAUGUUUUCAAAUUCGAAGACGGGCUUUGGUCAAACUAGGUCAAACGAUGGAGAAAAUGACUUGGAAUGAAAAUCUUUUGAAUACCAAGUUGUUAGAGCUCAUCAAUAUCCAAACUUUUUAUAUAGACCAUUUUUCUAUUUGGAAAAGUUUAUGUAAACAAUACUCACCAAAACUUGAAUCUCACACAAACUAUAUGAAACUAUACGUGGGAAGUGUGGAUUUUGAACUACACUUUGCCAACACUUUGUUAAUGCAAAAAUGGUCUAUAUAUGAAAUGUAGAUCUUGAUGAGUGGAGCAAUAUUGGUAUUCAUGAGUUUUCCAUUUGAGGCCAUCCAUGGUUCCAAAAAUUAGCGUUUCGCUAUGAAUUCUUUCAAAUUUCCAAAUUGAGUGGUCCAACUUUUUCAAAUGAAAAUGUGACCAUUAGAGAAAAUGUAGACCCUAAUGAGUGGAACAAACUUUGUAUUCAUGAGUUUUCCAUUUGAGGCCAUCUAGGGCUCGGUCAAAGUGUGUGUUUGUGAAACCCACUAUUUUGACUUUGGUCAAACUUGGUCAAAUGACCCAUCUGAGUACUUCAAAUGGAAAACUUUUGAAUACCAAGUUGUUAGAGCUCAUCAAGACCUACAUUUCAUACACGGAUCAUAUUUUCAUCUGGAUAAAUUUGAUCGAGUCCCAUGCACAUGUUUUCAAAUUCAAAGACGGGCUUUGGUCAAACUUGGUCAAACGAUGGAGAAAAUGACUGCGAAUGAAAAUAUUUUGAAUACCAAGUUGUUAGAGCUCAUCAAUAUGCAAACUUUUUAUAUAGACCAUUUUUUCAUUUGGAAAAGUUUAUGUAAACAAUACUCACCAAAUCUUGAAUCUCACACAAACUAUAUGAAACUAUACGUGAGAAGUGCGGAUUUUGAACUACACUUUGCCAGCACUUUGUCAAAUGUAAAAAUGGUCUAUAUAUGAAAUGUAGAUCUUGAUGAGGGGAGCAAUAUUGGUAUUCAUGAGUUUUCCAUUUCAGGCCAUCCAUGGUUCCGAAAAUUAGUGCUUCGCUAUGAAUUCUUUCAAAUUUCAAAAUUGGGUGGCCCAAACUUUUUCAAAUGAAAUUGUGACCAUUAGAGAAAAUGUAGACCUUGAUGAGUGGAACAAACUUUGUAUUCAUGAGUUUUCCAUUUGAGGCCAUCCAGGCCUCGGUAAAAGUGUGUGUUUGUGAAAUCCACUAUUUUGACUUUGGUCAAACUUGGUCAAAUGACCCAUCUGAGGACUUCAAAUGGAAAACUAUUGAAUACCAAGUUGUUAGAGCUCAUCAACACCUACAUUUCAUACAUGGACCAUAUUUUCAUCCGGAUAAAUUUGAUCGAGUCCCAGUCACAUGUUUUCAAAUUCGAAGACGGGCUUUGGUCAAACUAGGUCAAACGAUGGAGAAAAUGACUUGGAAUGAAAAUCUUUUGAAUACCAAGUUGUUAGAGCUCAUCAAUAUCCAAACUUUUUAUAUAGACCAUUUUUAUAUUUGGAAAAGUUUAUGUAAACAAUACUCACCAAAACUUGAAUCUCACACAAACUAUAUGAAACUAUACGUGGGAAGUGUGGAUUUUGAACUACACUUUGCCAGCACUUUGUUAAUGCAAAAAUGGUCUAUAUAUGAAAUGUAGAUCUUGAUGAGUGGAGCAAUAUUGGUACUCAUGAGUUUUCCAUUUGAGGCCAUCCAUGGUUCCAAAAAUUAGCGUUUCGCUAUGAAUUCUUUCAAAUUUCCAAAUUGAGUGGUCCAACUUUUUCAAAUGAAAAUGUGACCAUUAGAGAAAAUAUAGACCCUAAUGAGUGGAACAAACUUUGUAUUCAUGAGUUUUCCAUUUGAGGCCAUCUAGGGCUCGGUCAAAGUGUGUGUUUGUGAAACCCACUGUUUUGACUUUGGUCAAACUUGGUCAAAUGACCCAUCUGAGUACUUCAAAUGGAAAACUUUUGAAUACCAAGUUGUUAGAGCUCAUCAAGACCUACAUUUCAUACACGGAUCAUAUUUUCAUCUGGAUAAAUUUGAUCGAGUCCCAUGCACAUGUUUUCAAAUUCAAAGACGGGCUUUGGUCAAACUUGGUCAAACGAUGGAGAAAAUGACUGGGAAUGAAAAUAUUUUGAAUACCAAGUUGUUAGAGCUCAUCAAUAUCCAAACUUUUUAUAUAGACCAUUUUUCCAUUUGGAAAAGUUUAUGUAAACAAUACUCACCAAAUCUUGAAUCUCACACAAACUAUAUGAAACUAUACGUGAGAAGUGUGGAUUUCGAACGACACUUUGCCAGCACUUUGUCAAAUGCAAAAAUGGUCUAUAUAUGAAAUGUAGAUCUUAAUGAGUGGAGCAAUAUUGGUAUUCAUGAGUUUUCCAUUUGAGGCCAUCCAUGGUUCCGAAAAUUAGCGUUACGCUAUGAACUCUUUCAAAUUUCAAAAUUGAGUGGUCUAAUCUUUUUCAAAUGAAAAUGUGACCAUUAGAGAAAAUAUAGGUCUUGAUGAGUGCAACAAACUUUGUAUUCAUGAGUUUUCUAUUUGAGGCCAUCCAGGGUUCCAAAAUCUAUCUUACAGCUUUUGAAAAUUUAAAUUUCAAAUUUAUACAAUAAAUGUCGCGCAUUUGUAUAAAUAUUAUUAAAGAAAUAAAAGUUUAACGUCUAAAUGACCCAAAAACCAAGUAUGAAAUAAAAGCCAAUAAUUUUUUAAAAUUUAAUUGCCAUUAUAUUUUUGCAUUAACACAAUAUUCAUUAUAAAUAACAUUAUUUUUGAAUAAUAUGAAAUAUUUGAAAAUCAAUUCUGUUUAGAAUUUUUAUACUGAAGAGUAGAGCAGAAUAAAAUUAAUAUGUAUUUUUUCAACAAUUUUAUUAGAUUUAUUUAAUUUAUAAUGCAUUUAACAAUGUAAAAGGGAAAAAAGGAAAAACUAAAUUAUGGCGCCUAAACUGGCGCCAUAAUUUGGUGAAAACUCUUUGUCUCGGGCCGAGCUAGCGCCCGGGACUAAAGGGUCUUUAAUCUCGGUUCCAGCGAGGAACCGGGACUAAGCUCGGCCCGGGACUAAAGGUGCCCUGCCAUAUAAAGGGCAGAGCCCUUCUUCCUCCUGCCCACCGCGCCCGCGUCGAUCUUACCGUAACCGCCGCCGACCCGUCGUCUUCUCUGCCGCCGCUCCGUCGAUCUCGUCCUUGCCGCCGUCGUCCUUGCUCCGAGCGCCGCACCGAGGACGCCUCGCCGUACGCCGCGCGCCCACCGCCUCUACUCCCUCUCUCUUUCUCUCUUUCUCGUUCUCGCGCGCGCCGCCGCCACCUCGAUCGGGAACCCGCGAGCUCACCAACCGCCGCCACGCGCGGCUGCGCCCUUCGCGCCCGACAACGGCAGCCGGCGGGGGGCAGUGGCGCGGGCCCCAUGCCGUACGCCGUCGGCCGCGCGGCCACAUGCACCCACACCGGCGGCGUCGCCCGAGCCCCCCGCGCCGCUAAGACAGAGAUCGAGAAAGAAAAAAAAUGAAAAAAAUGAAAAAAAAUAUGAAAUAACAAAGAAAUAACUUUAACUAAAUAUAUAGUAAAAAAUAUUGAUAUUUAUAAUACAUAGUUAGGCCUUGUUUAGUUCUAAAAAAUUUUAGGAAAUCGACACUGUAGCAUUUUUGUUUGUAUUUGACAAAUAUUGUCCAAUCAUUGACUAACUAGGCUCAUGCAUACGUAUCGUUCUAAAAAAGUUUCGUAUCGUUAAUUCCGACCAAACUGUGCAAUUAGUUUUUAUUUUCGUCUAUAUUUCAUACUCCAUGCAUGCAUACGUUUAAAGAUUUGAUGUGACGGAGAAUCUGAAAAAUUUUGCAAAAUUUUAUGGGAACUAUGCCUUAGUAUCAUUGAAAAGAUCUUUCGGUCUAGUUUUUUAACAAAUUUAUUUAGAGACUUGGUUUUUGUUUUCUUCUAUAUUUAGUGCUUCAUGCAUGUGCCAGAAUAUGUAAAUGUGAUAUAAUAUUCGUUCCCUCUUUCUUCCUUCUUCCAGAUCGACGUCUCUCUGUCGUCGUCACCGAAGUCCCCGUCGAGUCUCCGCGCCGACUGCCAUCUCUCCGCCGUCUCACCAUUUCAAACUACACGUAUGUCUAGAGAUGGAUCUAUUAGUGGUACAAUUAGUGCUAUAAUUAGUGGUACAAUUAGUGGUAUAAAUUAGUGGUAUAGUUAUGAUAUAUUUAAUUGUUAGCAAAUGAUAUACACUAAACCCUAAACCUAAGCCCUAAGCCCUAAACCCUAAACCCUAAACCCUAAGGAGUAUGUGCCACCCUCAGAAGGUACGAGGACUUGGUACGCAAAUAUACAAGUUGCACGAGUACUACUUGAGAGUCAGCUCAAAACAUAAGGAAGAAGAAUUGAUUGCCGUCCGAGUCUGCGACCGACACUACUUCGGUGGAGAUGACGUCAUACGGAUAGAUUUUAGUGAAGUACACCAGCUUCUCCAUAUGAAUGCUCUCAACAAAUCUCUCAUGAGCUGCUACUGUCUGUAAGUGAUUCUUCCUUUUAAUUAUUAAUCCCAUUAUAGCAUAUGUAUGUAUUCAUAAUAACUACGAUCACGAUGUGUAGACACAUGAUGAGAGAACAAAGAUUGAAAAAAGACAAUCGAAUUGGUUUCAUCGAUCCAUAUGUCGUGUACAAGGACACCAAGACUAAAGAUCCAUUGAAUCUGAAGCCUAAGGAAAUAGGGAAGAACCUCCGGAGGUUCUUUUAUAAUCAAAGCCAUACAGAGAAGAUACUCUUCCUUUACAAUAUGGGGUAAGUGUUGUGUUAUAUCAUGUCUUAGUUAGUCCGGCAUUAAGAUAUAUUUAUAUAUAAGUUGACACUAAACAAAUGCAGAGAUUAUUGGAUACUCAUUGAGAUUAAGAUCAUGGAACAAAAAAUAAAUGUGUGGGACUCAAUGAAAAAGACCUGGCACUCUAUCAAGGCAUAAUAGACAUUGUUGACGGUCCUUAAUGCUCACAUUUAACUGUCAACUAAUCAUGGAAAAGGACCUAUAUGCAACCAACACCUAAAAUUAGGGUUUCAUCUCACAGAAUUCCACGAGUUUUGGUGUUUGUCUAUUUCUGCAGGGGGUUAUCAGGAAAUAUGGAGGAAAGGCCCACAUGUCGGUUGUAACACCCUAGGUGUUAAACAUGCACUUAGUCUCAUCAACUUAUACAUAAGCAUUCUCAUCAAGCAUAGCAUCACAUGAGCAUGUCAUUCAUUCAAAGUGUGAUUUUAUGUGCUUUAUUUUAUGUGAAUUAAAUGUGGUAAAAAUAUUAUGCUUGCUUCUAAAUUCUUGAAUUGCCCAAAUUAGGUUAAAAUAUGUGUUAAAAGAUUUAAGAGUAAUUUUGUGAUAUUUUUGGAGCUAUAGAAAUUAAGAAAUUGAUUUUAUACAAAAAUUCCCAAAAUAGAUUUAUUUGAAAACCUAUAAAUAGUUUUGAGUUGUAUUUCAAAAUCUAUUUGGAAUUUGUGAAUUCAACCUAAAGAAAAGUUGUAGGGUUUUUGAUUUAGAACAACUUUUGUUUUGGAAGAAAAAGGUGAAAAUGAUUUUAAAAUAGUCCAAAUGAAUUUAGAAAGAGUUUGAGAAAAGAAAUUCUAAAAAAAUGGAAAAGGGAAAGGGGGGCGCUAGCAGGCUGCGGCCUCACUUCUGGCCCGCUAGCCGAAGCCGGCCCAGCCCGCCCGCGCCGUGCCGCCGUGGCACGCCGGUAGAGCUCGGCCGCCGCGUGGCGAGCAUGCGGCAGCCUGGAUGCGCCCCGGUCGGCCACCAGGAGCGCCCGACCGCCUCCGUCUCUGCCUCCGCUACCAUUUGCGAUCCUCUACUCGCGCUCUUGCCUUUCGCUCGCCCGCGCGCCGCAGCUGCCGCUCCGCCGCGCGCCAUCGUCGCCGACGACUUGGAGCUUCUCUCUCAGCCAGCUCCGGCCUCAUCCUUCCUCUCCGCGACCGCCAACAGCUCCGCCUCGUCAUUCCGCGUCGCGUGCUCGCGCUCAACCGCACUCGGUGAGUCCCCGCGCGCCCGGGAGAGCUCACCAGAGUGAGUCGGGACUCCGGUGACCUUUCGUUCCGCGUUGUUCUCCCCCUCUACUCCGCCAUUUCUUGCGCUUUUAGGUGUGUUAGCUUCGCCUCGGCCUCGCGAACCGAUUCCGGCCGUUCGAGCACGCUCUACCGCCGCGUGGUGGCCGGACCGCGGCGAGCAGUGCCGCCGUUCCACCAUGGCCGGUGGCGAGCUUGCUCCCAUCCGUUGCCGCGGAAGUAGGUUCGCUGAGUUCGCCUUGAGCCGUAGAACGCGUAGAGCCACUUGGUUCGCCGAGAGAGGCCGCCGACGGUGAGCUCCGCCUCGCCGGAGUCGCCCUCUCUCUGUGUUCUGGCCAGCGGGCCCGGCUAUCAGGCGGGUCCGUCUCGUCAGUGGCCGCGGGUGCACUGCACCGGGUGCACCUAGCUGGUCCCGGGGGUGGAUUUGAAUUGAUUUUCAGAAAAUGCUUUCCGGAAAAUAGUUUAAAUGAUAUAAAAUCCAUAUCUUGAGAUAUAUAGCUCCAAAAAUGAUGAAAUAAAUUGUGGAGUGUUCUAUAAUUCUAGAUCUACAGUUUAGUAUAGUUGCAUGUCUUGUUUAAACAACUUUUCUGUGCAAAUAUAUUUAAUCCAUGUUUUUGCUGAGAAUUGGAAAAUGCAUAGUAAUUAAAAUAUAGUUCAGAAAAAUAUGAAACUUGUUUUGUUGGCUCUGCAUGGAUGAUUAGGCUCUGGGAAAAUUAUGUUACACAUUAUUUGCUGUAUGAAUUAAUUUAUUGUGAUUUAAAUGCUUGCAUGGCAAUGGUUUAUGAUUUUUAAUAAAUAAUUGGAUCAUGCAAUUAAACUACAAAUUUUUGUGGGUAUUUCUUAUGUUAUUAAGUAAAUUAUAAAAAUAUGAAAUCUGCUAUUUGACACUUAUACCACAGUAGGGUAUUUAUACAUGAUUAUAUGGAUUAAUCUUGUGAUUUUUGUAGCCCAAAAUAAAUGUCCAAAUAUUAUGAAAAACUUAUGGUAGACUUUAUGGUUGACUAGUAGUCUACUCUAAUUUUUGUGGAAUUUUUUGUUAAACAGAGAUAUAUGUUACUUUGUAGGUCCAAGAGUGAUUAAAUAAAAUAAGAGUGGUUAUGCAUGAAUUAAAUAGAAUAAAAGAUUGUUUGGUGUAUCUUUGAAGCAUCUUGUGAGCUUGCUGGUUAACCAUGAAGACAACUUGUAGAAGAGAAUGCAAUAUAUGCUUAGUUCGAUUGUUUAUUCUUGGGUGAUGUUGACUACCUCGUAAAAGUGACCACUUAUAUCAUCUAUACACCAUGUCAUAGUCAUCUGUUACCCACUUGCAUAAGCAUUGUAUCUCGGGCAUCUCGCACUCCACUCAUGAGCACACAUGCAUCAUACAGGCUCGCAGGAGAACGAGGUGGGACCCGAGGAGCAAGAGGAGACCCUGGAGCAGGAACCUCUGGGAGGACUAGAGACCGGAGAGGAGCUGUAGGAGUGCCCGGACCACAGACCGAGCACGUUUGAGAAAGGCAAGCCCCCGAGCAUUCUAAGUCUCCCUAUUCUCGCUAACUUAAAUGAGAUAUUAUGUUUGUUCUACUAUGUUGCAUUUAAGUGAUAGGAAUUGCUUGAUACCGUUGAUGCAUAAGUACUCCUUGAUAUCACCACUUGUUUAUCUACCUUGUCCUAUGUAGAUAGGCACAGAGUCCAUGCUUAGUUUGCUUAGUCCGGUAGAAGUUGGGUGAUUUCCUGUCACCUGCGAGAUAUAGGUGGACACCUGUUUGAUUAGCUGUGAUUGCUAUGAGGAUGAAUAACCAAGUGUGGAAAGGAAUUUGAGACCGGGCAGGGUCUUGUGGUGGGUUGAUCAUAGUGCCCCUGCCUGUGUCGAUUAAGGACCGAUCGUUGACGGCCCUCUUGUCAUGUUGAACGCAUGCCCCACACUUAGCUGGAAGGAUAAGUCGUUCCGACCGCGAAGCCUGAGCACUAUCUGGGCCGGGAAUCGGCCCGAUGUACGCGCUGUAUUGGUGAUGGUUGAGGAGAACGACGAGGGCGCAGCGCACAACCUUUGUAUACGUUGGAUACCUCGGCUGCCGGAACGGUCCUCGGGUACGGGCGGUGCCUGUCGAACCCGCGAAUUGGUCGUGGAUAAUGCAACACGGUGAUCUGUAGCUCACUUGAUCAGUGUGUGUGGUUUGUGUGGGGAAUAAACUCACCAGCUGGUCAGAAAUCGAUUCGAAUCGCCAUCACUCCUGGAUAGUGAGCACUUGACAUGAGCCCUGUCCUCGUAGUAAGGACUAUGGAACAUUUGGGUUAUGAUGAUAAAUGAUUUAUGAAUGCUAUGAUGAGGUACCAUCAUAUUACUACACUUGCUUGUAAUAGUACAGGUGCAAACCUAGAUAAUAGGUACGAUAUUAUCAAACUUGAGCUAAUGAAAAGAAGAAAGGUCUCUAGGCUAUGUUUUAGCGGAAUAAUGCUUUUAUGAAAAGAGUCUCAGCUUCCCCACCAUACAGCCUUCAUGAUCCUUGAAGAGUCUUGAUUUUUGGUUUAUGACGGGUAAGUCUAGCUGGGUACAUUCUCGUACUUAGGGUUCUAUUCCCGUGUUGUUUUGCAGAUGGUCAAAUGUAUUAUGGUUAUUGCAUCCUCUGCUUGUACCCAGCAAUGGGUGACGACUAGACCAAGGGCGAUGGUCACUCUCGCUUCUCUUUUGCUUUUGUGGGAAUAACCGAACUAUGGCACUGUAUCAAACUAAAUGUGUGUGUUUUAUUUUCAAACUAUGAAGCUUCCGCUACGUGAGAACUUGGUUUGUAAUAAUUUUAAGUACUCUGAUGUAUUUGAUGAAUGUUGUGAACUGGAUGUAAUUGUGAAUGGUGACCGCUGAACUUAUUACGAUCUUGGCUGUAUGUAUGAUUUGUGGUUUGAAAUCCUUCGAGAUUUCAUGGACUACCGGGAUUAUAUGGGCUUAAGCUCGGUGGUUUGACUGUGCAAAUGGUCACUAUCAAGCUUAAUCUCUUAUAAUUUGGGCGGUUCUGUUACAUCGGGUUUACACAGAGAUAUUAACGUGUGCGCCAAUUUUCUAUCAUCUAGAAGACUUCAGAAGCCAUGGGAACGAACGGGAGGCCGAGCGGGCCCGAGGGCUGGGUGCGCGCCCUCCCCCCUUCGGCAACUGCCCUGCCCUGGUGACCAAUCAGGGCAGGUCUCGCGGAUCGUGCUCCAUCGCCUUUGAGGAUCAAGGAAAACCGUGCGAUUAAGGUCGGUUUGAUCCGACGGCCCUCGUUCAUUUGGAAGGGCUAUAUAAGCAGGCCCCCUUGCCCCUGGAGAACAUAUCACUUCUACAGAAUCAAAGCUAGGGUUUCAAUUAUUCAUCCAAGUAGAGAGGAUCCCUCUAGUUCAUCUAGUUCUAGUUCAUAUAGUUCUAGUUAUAGUUAGUUCUAGGUUUAAUCUAGAAAAUAGGGAGAGGGAAGAGGAGAGCGGAGGAGGAGCCGGAUCUGUCGGAUCGUCCUCAACAUUGUACUUUUGCAGCAACUGGUUCGUUCUUCAUCGUUCUCCAAGUUCUUCAAUUCAUAAUUCCUGAGUUCUUCAAUUACUUUUAUUUACAUUCAAGUUAUUUUUUGGAUUCCCGCUUGCAUCAAGUGCUCUGUUCUUUAUAAUGCUAGAGUAGUAAUUAAUAGAUUAGACGUGGUGUUUAGUCUUGCAAUUACCUGGAAUUGCACCCAAUCCUGCGGAUUGUUGUGGUAGCCCUAGGGUAGUGACAGCCCUAACGGUCGACGUAUUCCACCUCGUUCGAAUCAGUGUUUGUAGGACCAUAGUCAGAGCUUCCUAGCCCCCUUCUCAUCUCUUUCUGUGGUCAGUGUUCUGAUGUCCCAAAAUAAAUAAUCUUUGAAGUAAUUCUUGAUUCUUAGAUCAACUAGAGAACUCUUAGGAAACUUCCUCUCUUCCCACCAAAAAUAAUUAUAUAGUUAUCCUUCGGAGAUCUUGAAUCUUAAUUAGUACACUCACGUUCCCUAUGGAAAAUCGAUACCCUAGAAUACUCCUGGGUGAAAGCUACAUCGAUAUCCGUGCGCUUGCGGAUUUUUCUGUUUGCGUUUAAAAUACCCAACAAGCUUUCUGGCGCCGUUGUCGGGGAACGAUAGUUGUGCUAGUUUCGAACCAAGUCAUCCGUGUAUCCUUUUUCUUUUCCUUUUUUUACCACACUCACCUUACAAUUUUCACCACACCACAUGGAUUUCACUCCUAUCUAUAAAUUAUUUGCUCCAAAGGGCGAGUUAUUAGAGCCACCACCAUCAUCACAUCCAAUUCUUACAGAUGGUUACGACCUCGGCCUUGAUCUAGUAGCGAUGAUUCAGGAGCAACCCGAAGUAGAUGAAUAUCCAUACACCCACGUUAGAGAAUUCGAGCAGUUGUGCUCUUGCCAAUCUAUUUCCGGCAUGACACAAGAAACCCUUAAAUGGAAAUUAUUUCCGUUCUCCCUUUUGGGUAGAGCAAAAAAGUGGUAUGCUCAUUUUGUAGGAGGCGUUAAUGGAAAUUUGGAUGAACUUCAGGACAACUUUUGUCUCACUUUCUUCCCACUUUUUCGAAACGCUGACCUUAGAAUCAAAAUUCUUACAUUCAAACAAAGAGAGAAGGAAACUUUAGGAGCAGCUUGGGCUAGGUUCACAAACCUUACCAAUUCUUGUCCAAACCUUUACCUGCCUGACCAUGUGCUAUACUACCAUUUUUAUCGUGGUCUAAACAAGGAAGCUGCUCUUCACCUCGACAUUGCUUCAGGAGGCUCAUUCUCACACAAACUCAUAGAUGAGGGGAGAGCUAUCCUAGAGAGAAUCCUUGAAAAUACACCUUACACAGGCAUUUAUGAUGAGUUUCCUGAAGAAGAAAAAGAAGUCGAGCCUAAUCCUAAACCAAAAGAAGAGGAACUUGCAACUGAGUUAGAAAUUCCACCUGACCCAUCUAUUAAUUUGGCUGUAGAGAAACCUCCUGAUAAGGGAAUGCAAAACCAACUAACGGAUAAUGAACCACCACCCUUAGAGCAUCCCUUUGAAUUCGAGGAAGAUCUUUUUGAAGAUUAUGGAAACACCUCAAAUUUUCCUAUCCAAACACGACCUCUAGCAGGGACCACUCAAUCCGUUCUAAGAGUAGAAUCUGUUGACAUAGAACACAUCAAAAGCCUUUCGGCUAUUCUGAGUUAUGAAUGGCUAACAGAAGUAGAGCUGUCACCUAAGGUAGCUCGGAUCAUCACUCCGUCAACAAUUCUUCUGUGCCAAAUUAGAGGGUCCGCUAGCAAGGUCCACUACAAUCCAUAUGUUGGGAUAAAUGUAAUUUCCAAGGAGUUAGCUGACACUCUUUAUCCCAACGAGUCCAUAACCCCAUCUCAAAAACUUUUACAAAGUCCAUCUAGAUUAAUUCUAGAAAGCUAUGGGGUAUUAAGGGCAGUUCCUAUUAGAAUCAAGGACUCUGGAAUAUGUCUAGAUUUUCACAUUUUUGACAUACGAGAGAUUCCUCUCUUGAUUGGCGGACCAAUCAUGAAACUUCUACAAGAACAACCACAACGAGGUCAUUUAGACUUCAAGGAUGGGAAUUCCACUAUUGUUGUUCCUCUUGCCAGAUCAAUUAACACGAUAGUGGAACCCAAACUUGAAUCAGAUCCUAUGGAGGAGAUCUUAAUGCUGACUCAAGAGGAGAUGGCCCAACCAUUCUUGAAUCAUGAACACUUUGUUCAAGAAGAAGAAGAGUUGGUAGAACCCAUUGAGCUAGACAAAAAUGAACAACCUUCACCUCCUUCGAUAGAGUUCUUCCUUCUGGCCUUAGAUAUGUCUUUUUGCACAACAACCCAAAAACUCCAGUAAUUAUCAGUGACAAGCUUUCCGAUUAUGAAACACAACAACUUGUCACUGUUCUUGAAAGGCAUAGAUCAGCAUUUGGCUACUCUCUCGAAGAUCUCACGAGCAUUAGUCCCAUUCUCUGCACUCAUCGUACCCCUAUUGAUCCUAAUUUUACACCUUCAAGGGAACCACAACGGAGACUUAACAAUGCUAUGCGAGAGGUUGUUAAGAAAGAGGUCCUCAAACUCUAUCGUGCUGGGAUUAUUUAUCAUGUGCCACAUAGUGAGUGGGUUAGCCCUGUCCAAGUAGUGCCAAAGAAAGGAGGAAUGACGGUGGUUUCGGAAUGAGAAGAAUGAACUCAUCCCUCAACGAAUUGUCACUGGGUGGCGUAUGUGUAUUGACUAUCGAAAGCUCAACAAGGCUACAAAGAAAUAUCACUUUCUGUUACCCUUCAUUGAUGAAAUGUUGGAACGGCUUGCAAACCACUCUUUUUUUGUUUCCUUGAAGGUUAUUCUGGAUAUCACCAAAUCCCAAUCCACCUAGAUGACCAAGAAAGGACUACCUUUACAUGCCCGUAUGGAACUUAUGCAUAACGACGAAUGUCGUUCGGAUUGUGUAAUGCUCCAGCUUCUUUCCAACGGUGCAUGAUGUCUAUUUUCAAGGACAUGAUUGAGAAGAUCAUGGAGGUUUUCAUGGAUAAUUUUUCCGUCUAUGGCAAAACCUUCGAUCAUUGUUUGGAGAAUUUAGAUAGAGUCUUGCAGCGAUGUGAAGAAAAGCACUUAAUCCUGAACUGGUAGAAAUGCCAUUUUAUGGUUUAGGAAGGAAUAGUGCUAGGACAUAAAGUGUCUGAACGUGGUGUAGAGGUGGACAAAGCAAAGAUUGAAGUUAUUGAAAAACUUCCACCUCCUACGAAUAUGAAAGGAAUACGUAGCUUUUUGGGACAUGCAGGGUUCUAUAGACGCUUUAUCAAGAACUUCUCUCAAAUUGCUAGACCCCUAACUAGUCUCCUAGCUAAGGAUGCACCUUUCAUCUUUAGUGAUGAGUGUCAUGAAUCUUUUCAAACUCUUAAGAAAGCACUCAUCUCAGCCCCAGUUAUCCAACCACCUGAUUGGAAUCUUCCUUUCGAGAUCAUGUGUGAUGCUAGUGAUUUUGAGGUUGGUGCCGUUUUAGGACAAACCAAGGAUAAAAAGCAUUAUGCCAUAUCCUACGCUAGCAAAACCUUGUCUGGACAACAGCUCAAUUACACUACAACUGAAAAAGAGCUUUUGGCUGUUGUCUUUGCUAUAGACAAGUUUAGAUCUUACUUAGUGGGGGCAAAGAUAAUCAUCUAUUCAGACCAUGCUGCUCUCAAGUACCUCCUCACUAAGAAAGAUGCUAAGCCUCGUCUAAUUCGAUGGAUUCUUCUACUCCAAGACUUUAACAUAGAAAUCCGAGAUAGGAAGGGAGUAGAGAAUUCCAUAGUCGAUCACUUGUCUAGGCUUCAAUAUAAGGAAACACAUGAUGAGCUUCCCAUAAAUGACUACCUAAGGGAUGACACCCUGCUUAAGAUAACACAUGCAGAUCCAUGGUACGCAGACAUCGUAAACUUUAUAGUAAAAGGCUAUGUCCCACCGGGUACAAACAAAAGGAAGUUACUUCAUGAUAGUCGUUUCUACCUUUGGGAUGAGCCAUAUCUUUUCCGAGUCUGCGCUGAUGGACUCUUGAGGAGGUGUGUUCCUAUGGCUGAGGCUACUCAAAUUAUGGAAAGAUGCCAUGCCUCGCCAUAUGGAGGACACAAUGGAGCAUUCCGGACACAUGCUAAAAUUUGGCAAAGUGGUUUUUUCUGGCCAACGAUGUAUGAAGAUAUUGGACUUUGUCAGGAGAUGCCACAGAUGUCAAAAACAUGGGAAUAUCAACUCGCAAAAUGAAAUGCCUCUCACAAAUAAUCUUCAAGUAGAACUUUUCGAUGUAUGGGGCAUUGAUUUCAUGGGCCAUUCCCUAUGUCUGGGAAUUACGAGUAUAUCUUAGUAGCUGUGGACUACGUGUCCAAAUGGGUAGAAGCCCUACCUUGUUGAUCAGCUGAUUCAAAACAUUCCAAGAGAAUGUUCCAUGAAGUAAUCUUUCCUCGCUUUGGUAUACCUCGGAUAGUUAUAAGCGAUGGAGGUUCCAACUUCAUCGACAAAAUCUUCCAGAAGUACCUAGCCGAUCUUGGAGUUCGACACAAUGUCGCAACACCAUACCAUCCUCAGACUAGCGAUCAAGCCGAAACAUCUAACAAACAAAUCAAAAAUAUUUUACAAAAGACCGUAGAUGAGAUGGGUAAGGGGUGGAAAGACAAACUUCCUGAUGCACUUUGGGCAUAUAGAACUGCAUUCAAAACACCCAUAGGCAUGUCACCUUAUCAACUUGUAUAUGGAAAAACUUGUCAUUUGCCUGUGGAAGUAGAGUUUAAGGCUCACUGGGCACUCAAGAAAUGGAACAUGGAUCUCCACCUCGCUAGCGAGAAUCGUCUGAUGCAACUAUCUGAGAUAGAAGAAUGGAGAGGGAAAGCCUACCACAAUUCAAGGAUCUAUAAAGAGAGAACAAAACGAUGGCAUGAUAAGAGAAUCAAGCACAAGGUGUUUAAGCCUGGAGAUAAGGUUCUACUAUUCAAUUCAAGAGUUAAGCUCUUUGGGCAUGGUAAGCUACGAAGUAAGUGGGAUGGACCAUACAAGGUUAUUUACACUUCAACUCAUGGAGCCAUUACCAUCCAAGACGACAUAGGUAACACUUUUAUGGUAAAUGGUCAACGCUUGAAAAUCUAUCUCGAGCCACAAAACAACGUGGUAGAGGAACUUGAUGUGAUUGAGUUCAUAGAAUUCUCACAUUAAGCUCUCAUAAGCUCUAGACAAUUACCUAACCCUUAACAUGCUCCACGAGUUUUGUUGUCUAUUUGGGUUGUGCAGGAUAUUGAGGCUUAAGAAGAGUGAGACCGAACAUGCAGGCCACAAAGAGUGAAUGACUAUGUCAUCAUCGAGCUUGGGGGAGGCACCCCCACAUGUAUCUAGAUAAGUAUUACUUUUCUUUCUUGGUUUUAUUUACUAGUAUUCGGAAAUAAAUAAAAAAAAUGCAUAACCAUGAAACCAAACAAAGUUUUUCUUUUGAGUAAUACACAAUAGUUUUGUGUAAUCCUAAGUUUUAAAUAAAAUAAAAAGAAAGUCUGAUCCAAGUCUAGGUAAUUGAUAAACAUGAUAUGAGAAAGUCUGAGCUACUAUUUAACUUGUUCCAAGUUUCGCUAGAGUUCUAGAGAUUUUAUCUUUUGAAAAUCUUUAAAAAAUGAGAUCCUGUUUGACAUAAUACCUUGAGUCUUAUAAGAUAUUGUCGAGGGUGUCAAUAAGGGGUACCCAAACUAAUACGCAUAACAACAAUACCCGUACACCGAGGCCCCUGACUCGACGUCCCAGAUUCAUACGCUCGAUUGCCAAAACGCGAUGACGACCAUAUCCUCGAAUAUGGAGAAGGGGUCAUGCGAAUCGGCUGAGGCUUGACUAAGCAUCGACCAUCGAAUACAGAACUGGCUCAUACGAAUCGACAGGCCUCGAGUGCAAGGACGCCGCCCGCCGCUUGACAUGGGUACAAGAACCAGGGCAUUUAAUGCGCCUGUUGCGUACUUGUUGACGGUUCUUAAGUAUCAAUUUUAAUUAUCAAAUAAACAAGAGAAAGGACCAAUAUGCAACUAACACCUAGAAUUAGGGUUUGAUCUAACAGAAUUCCACGAGUUUUGUUGUUUAUCUAUUUCUUCAGGGGGUUAUCAGAAAAUAAGGAAGAAAGGCCCACAUGUCGGGAUUACAUAGAGAUAUCAACACACCGCACGAUUUUCCACCAUCUAGAAGACUCCAGAAGCCACGGGAAGAAGACGGAGGCCGAAAGGGGCCAGGCCCAGGGCGCCCGCCCUGGUGACCUGGGCGCCCGCCCCCUGCUGGAUUGCUUUCAGCACUCUCUUCGCUCGGGAUAUUCCACUGACCUAUUGGAUCGAGAAAAACAUAGUACCACCUCGCCUAUCGACCCAAAAACGCAGAGAAGGGGAGGACUAUAUAAGGAGACCCCCCUGGCCCCUGGAGAAGACAUGAAGAAAUUAUCAUAGAGACUGAGGGGUGCCGAAGGAAAACCUCUUCUCUAAUUAAUAUUUCUUUUUAGGCUUAGCAAUCAAUGUAAGGUAGAAAUAGAUCUUCUAGUUUCUACUAGAUUGAGAGAGAUAGAGUGGAGGUGUUGAUUGGAGGAAGCCCGGCCUGUCGGUGUCUAUUCCAAGCUUGUACCUGCGGGAUCAAGUUCUCCUAACCCGAAGCUUGCUCCUAGGAUUCUUCAGUAAUUCGACUUCUAAAUUCUAGUAAGUUCUUGUUUUAUUGUUCUUAUGGUUUAUGAGUUUACUUUAAUCUCUUCGCGUAGAGUUUAGAGUAAUCAUUGCUGGCGUAAACGUGGUGUUUAGGCUGGGGUACUCAUAGAUAUUCCCUGACUAGCUGGACCGUGGUAGUAGUGAGGAACGUGACAAUUCCGAGCUACCUUUGUAGAUCACAUCUCGUUAGCAGGAAGGAUAGGGUUUAUAGGUGCGGGUUGAACAUCCUUUGUGGUGUCUAGAUUCCGUUAGCCUCCCCAUUAGAACAGUAGAUCAUCCUUACCAAGGUUAGAAGGAGACUACGGUUGCAGUCUUCUCUAUUUAUCACUCACAUCGAAAGACAUUCUUUGUGCCUAAAGGUUAGUAGUAAUAGACCGGUUAGUCAGAUGCACUCUUUCUCCUAGUGGUAAAAAAAUAAAUACGAUACUCUGGAUAAUUUCCCGGGUGAAGUGCUCACCGAUAUCCUGAGAAAGACGGUUGGUGAGAUAACCUGAGUCUUGCUACUAGCUUGUAUCUAUGAAUCUUUUAUCUUUUAUAUUCUUUAUUUUCUUUACUCUUACCUUAUGGAAAACCAAAAUUCUAAAUCAAUCCAUGAAUCUGCAAUCCCUUUAGCAACUGACCUUUUACCAUGGGAGUCAUCACAGCCUGUCCAAACAUCCCAGUAUAAGUUAAGUUCUAGGUUGAUUGCCAUGAUUCAAAACCUAUCUUUUUCGGGAAAGGAAGACGAAAACCCUUACCUUCAUAUUAGAGAUUUUGAGCAAACAUGUGAUUGUCUUCGCAUUGAAGGCAUUUCUUAUAAAACUUUACGUUGGAAGCUUUUUCCUUUUUCCUUAAGGGGAGAAGCUAGACAAUGGUACAGUCAGAAGGUAAGUCAACAACAAGGUGAAUGGGGAGUUUUACGAGCCAACUUUUGUCUAGAUUUAUAUUCCCUUGACCGUAUAGCCGACCUUAGACUCGAAGUCCUAUCUUUUAAACAAAAAGAUAAUGAAACUUUGGGGAAAUCCUGAAAACGUUUUUCUGAUCUUUUAGAAUCUGGUCCAAACCUUAAUCUUGAAGACCCUGUUCUUUUAUUUCACUUUUUUCAAGGUCUUCAGAAAAAUCACAAACAAAUGCUACACACAAUGUCUAGAGGUUCUUUCUUUCGCAUCCCUGCUGAUGAAGCUAGAGUGAUCCUAGAUAGAAUCCUAGAAGCUGAGAUGGAUAAUACCCUUCAUGAUGAAACCUACGAAGCUGAAGUAGACACUCUGCCAAAUUCUUCAUCUACUUUAGCUAUCCCAAGUUCUGAGCCACAAGAGGAAGAAAUUCCACCACCGGACUUCAUGCUGGAUAUAGAAUCCGAUCUUUUUGCCGAUUUUGGAAAUAUUUCAAACUACCAUUCUAUUGACAAACCCCAAAACGGCCAAUUUAGCAUUUAUUUGCCAAGUGAAUAUCAAUUGAGAGAGCUUAUCUCAGUAAUGAGUAGCGAAUGGUUGGAGGAAUCAGAGCUUUCCUCUAAUGUGAUCCGUUUGGACACAGCCUCUAUAACUAUACGCUGUGCUUAUAAUUCUGAUCGAUUUAAUGCUCUCUAUAAUCCUAUUGUGGGGAUCAACAUCAUGUCUGAAUAUUUUGCACUUAAACUAUUUAAAAAUCUUGUCUUAACCCCCACAACAAAGGUCAUAAAGGAAUCUUCGGGACGAUUAGUCCCCAGUCUUGGAAUUAUUAAUGUCCUACCUCUUACGGCAGAAGGAUCCAUGGUUCAUUUGAACUUCUAUAUCUUUGAUACAUGGGACUUCGACCUGUUAAUAGGACAACCUUUUAGAAGACUCCUUUAUGAAGGUCAUACUAGAAAGCUACACAUUUCUUUUGGAAAAACUUUUAAAUUCCCAAUAACAAUUUCACACUCCUUAAACAAUAAGGCCGAGUCAUAUCUUUUGCCUGAUCCUAUGGAGGAAGUAAAGGCUGCAUCUCUAGAGCUUUUAGAUGAACCAGACUUAGAAGACGAAACUCCUUUCUUCACAGAAGAAGAAGACGAACCUUCUGAGCCUGAACACUUAGAUGAGUUUGCAGAAACACCUAGACCCCCCAUAGAGCUUAAAACUUUACCACCCGGUCUUACUUAUGCUUUCCUAAACAAUAAUCCAGAGUUCCCUGUGAUCAUUAGUGAUAAACUCACUCAGGAUCAAACUCUGCGAUUAAUGACCAUUCUUGAGAAACAUCACUCAGUUUUCGGCUACUCACUCCAAGAUCUUACAGGAAUCAGUCCUAUGAUUUGUACCCAUCGUAUUCCAACAGAUCCUUCUGUUUCACCCUCUCGAGAACCCCAACGUAGACUUAAUAAUACUAUGAGAGAGGUAGUUAAAAAGGAAGUUAUAAAGUCGCUGCAUGCAGGGAUUAUAUAUCCUGUGCCGCACAGUGAGUGGGUAAGCCCAGUACAAGUUGUGCCCAAAAAGGGAGGCAUGACUGUUAUUAUGAAUGAAAAGAACGAGCUAAUUCCGCAACGCACCGUCACAGGAUGGCGGAUGUGCAUAGACUAUAGAAAACUAAACAAAGCCACAAGAAAAGAUCACUUUCCUUUACCUUUCAUAGAUGAGAUGCUAGAGCGGUUAGCAAACCAUUCAUUCUUUUGUUUCUUAGAUGGAUAUUCAGGGUAUCAUCAAAUCCCGAUCCAUCCCGAUGAUCAAAGCAAAACCACUUUUACAUGCCCGUAUGGAACUUAUGCUUAUCGUAGAAUGUCUUUUGGGUUAUGUAAUGCACCAGCUUCUUUUCAAAUAUGCAUGAUGUCUAUAUUUUCUGAUAUGAUUGAAGAGAUUAUGGAAGUUUUCAUGGAUUAUUUCUCUGUUUAUGGAAAAACUUUUGACAGUUGUCUUGAAAACUUAGACAAGGUUUUGCAAAGAUGUGAAGAAAAGCACUUAAUCCUUAAUUGGGAAAAAUGUCAUUUUAUGGUUAGGGAAGGAAUAGUGCUGGGACACUUAGUGUCUGAAAGAGGAAUUGAGGUAGACAAAGCUAAAAUUGAAGUAAUUGAACAAUUACCUCCACCUGUAAACAUAAAAGGAAUUCGAAGCUUUCUUGGCCAUGCUGGUUUUUAUCGUAGAUUCAUAAAAGAUUUUUCAUUUAUUGCUAGACCACUUACUCUUUUGCUAGCCAAGGAUGCUCCUUUCGAAUUUGAUGAUGCAUGUCUAACAUCGUUCAAUUUAUUAAAGAAAGCACUCAUCUCUGCACCAAUCAUUCAACCCCCUGAUUGGUCGCUGCCUUUUGAAAUUAUGUGUGAUGCUAGUGAUUAUGCUGUGGGGGCAGUAUUGGGACAAACUAAAGAUAAGAAGCAUCAUGCAAUUGCUUAUGCCAGUAAAACUUUGACAGGAGAUCAACUUAACUAUGCAACCACUAAAAAAGAGCUUCUGGCUGUUGUCUUUGCCAUUGAUAAAUUUAGAUCUUAUUUAGUUGGAGCUAAAAUAAUUGUUACUAAUCAUGCUGCACUAAAAUAUUUGCUCACUAAAAAAGAUGCUAAACCUCGCCUGAUUAGAUGGAUCUUAUUACUCCAAGAAUUUGACUUAGAAAUAAAAGAUAAAAAAGGAGUAGAAAAUUCUGUUGCUGAUCACUUGUCUAGAAUGUAUUUCAAGAGUCCACAGGAAACCCCCAUCAAUGAUUCACUUCGGGACGACAUGCUCUACGGGAUUAACAGGUCUGACCCCUGGUAUGCAGAUAUUGUUGAUUUUAUGGUUUCAGGGUAUGUACCACCAGGAGCAAACAAGAAGAAGCUUAUUCAAGAAAGUCGUUCACAUAUAUGGGAUGAGCCAUACCUCUUCCAAGUAUGCUCUGAUGGCUUACUCAGGAGAUGUGUGACCAUUGAGGAAGGAUGGAAGAUCAUCGACAGAUGUCAUUCAUCACCAUAUGCCAAGGUCACUAUGGAGCAUUCCGUACACAUUCAAAGAUCUGGCAGUGUGGACUCUACUGGCCUACAAUGUAUGAAGACACGAGGCAAUAUAUCAGAAGAUGUGGGCCAUGUUAAAGACAUGGAAACAUAAAUACAAGGGAUGCAAUGCCACUCACCAACAACCUUCAGAUUGAGCUCUUUGAUGUCUGGGGAAUAGACUACAUGGGUCCAUUUCCUCCAUCAAAGAAGUGCGAGUACAUCUUGGUGGCGGUUGACUAUGUCUCCAAGUGGGUAGAGGCAUUACCUUGCAAGCAUGCUGACAACGUCAGUUCAAAGAGGAUGUUUGAAGAAAUUAUAUUUCCAAGAUUUGGAGUCCCCAGAGUAGUGAUAAGUGAUGGAGGAGCACACUUCAUCGACAAACGCUUCAAGCAAUAUCUAUCAAGACAUGGAAUCCGUCACAACGUCGCUACCCCUUAUCAUCCUCAGACAAGUGGCCAAGCAGAGACUUCCAACAAACAAAUCAAGAAUAUUCUUCAGAAGACAGUAAAUGAAAUGGGAACGGCGUGGAAAGACAAGUUACCUGAUGCACUCUGGGCAUACCGGACAGCAUACAAGACCCCAAUUGGAAUGUCUCCAUACCAAUUGGUGUACGGGAAGACUUGCCAUCUACCUGUUGAACUAGAGUUCAAAGCACACUGGGCCAUAAAGAGAUGGAAUAUGGACCUAGAUGUUGCUGGAGAUUAUAGAAGAAUGCAACUAUCAGAAUUGGAAGAAUGGUGAGAGAAGGCAUAUCACAACUCAAAGAUCUACAAAGAAAGAGUAAAAAGGUGGCAUGACAAGAGAAUCAAAAAGAAGGAGUUCACACCCGGAGAUAAGGUAUUACUUUUUAAUUCCAGGGUGAAGCUUUUCGGGCAUGGAAAACUCCGGAGCAAAUGGGAAGGACCAUUCAAGGUAAUUAAUUCAUCAUCCCAUAGAGCUAUCACACUUCAAAAUGACGAAGGUACGUUAUUCAAGGUAAAUGGUCAACGUCUUAAAUUAUUUUUAGAGCCCAAUGAGGAAUUUGAAGAAAUAGACGUAUUCCACUUUUACCUUCCCAUGGAGAAUUAGAGCCCGACCUUUUUAGUCUGAUGUUUUUGGGUCAUAUAUAUAUUUUUCUAAAUAAUUUCGUAUCUAGAAACGUGCUCGAGAAAGUGGGCCCACAGAGGGGCCAGAGAGAGGGCGGGCGCCCAGCUCAGGUGGGCGGGCGCCCAGCUCCUGUUCCCCCUCGGUCCCGAUUUUCUCUGUUAUGGAAAAUGCACUUAUGGUAAUUCGAAUAAUCCCUCGGAUGGAAAGUUUCCCACGCAAGUCGACGGGAGCAACCUGAACAACCCAUAGAGGCACCCUUUUGACCCCUAUAUAAACAGACCCUGACCUCAGUUUUCAAACACCAAGCCACCAAUCCUUCUCUCCUUCAAUUAGAGCUUGAUUAGCUCUCCUUAAAUUAGAGCUUGAUUAGUUCCUUGCUGCUCCAAUGGCCGAGAAGUACCACGAUGAUUGGGAAGUCGUCCCCUUCAACCUCAACAUGGAGCUUGUGGAAGACCCCGAUGCCCGUGCUCUCGUCCCGGCCAACACAGAGCGACAGCUAGAAGCUAUGCCAUUACGCCAACGCAGCUCCGCCCAAUCUUACAAUGCUCAACCAGUUCUCACCGCACCGCCACAACCCCUACUCCUCAAAGGAUCAUCAUCCAAGAUAAAGACCACUAUCAAGGUGCCAACCGGCACAAGGAUCCUUGCACCUAGACCCAAUGAGAGGGUCGUUGGAGUCAAGACCAACCGGAGCGGUGAGAUCAGCAGUAUUCGCUACACUACGGAGGAGGAAAGGCCUUUGAAGGGAUUAGACCAGCCAAAGUCCGUUUCAUCCCUCCAAAGGCAGCCCCGAAGCACUCUCUCAAUGCUUUUGAGACACCUCCCAAGCGUCGCAAGACUAUAAUGGAUAUUGAUGAGGAAGUUCGCAGGCUAGAUAGAGUUAUCAUAGAUCUCCAGUCCUCGAUCAACUCCCUCACUAGCCAGCUCUCUAACCACAACACUAUUAUACUAGGCCUUAGGCAGGAUCUUGCCAGUGCCAACAAGAAGAUCAAGGAAUUAGAGCGCCGCUAAGUUAUCUAGAUUAGACCUUGAGGCAAUGCAUUUUAGUUAUCUAUCUUUAAAUUCGGUUUAGGUUUGCAAUUAUCAUCAGUUUGCUAUUAUCAUCAGUUUGUUAUCAGUUUGCUACUAGUCUUUUGUAAUAAAUGCCUCAAGAUUAAUAAAGAGUAUUACUAUUAUUAUUAUUAUGUCUUGUGUGUCUCUACUUUAUUUUUGUGCAAGAAAGCAAAAAAACAAGUAUGGGGGAGAUCCCUCGACAUGCCAACCACACUCCUACUACACCACUCCACGAUUCAGGUACACACUCUGCACACUUUACACAUACAUAUAUUUUGGAUUAUGCAGAUUAUUGUUUCCGACAUGAUAAAAUAAAAAGAUUAAAAUAUUUCUAAUCAUGAUUAAUCUCAAUAUGUGAUAUUUCCUGAAAACUUACAAUUAUUGAAAAUCAUUUUAAAACCCUGUGUCACUUAAGUCAAUAUGGAAUAUGUGAUGGUAGAGUAUGAGUUUCUUAUUCUUGAUAUCAUUGUUGCUUGGAGAAUUUAUUUCAAAAUAUUCAAAAUUAUAGCUACCAUCCUCAGUGUUUUAUGGCUGAUAAGACUGAAAAUAUUAAUUAUAAUUAUAAAAGCUAUCUACUCUGUAUUGAGUUUGUUCAAAAUGAGUUAGACCCUUGUUGAGAGAUUUAUCAUGCUCCUAAGAUCAAGACAGUAUUUCAGAAAGAUUCACUCUUCCGAAGUAUUAUUGCAUUAGAGGCAUGGGCUAUGCAUAAAUAGAAAUAUUUCGAGGAAAUAAAAAGGAGCAAGUGCUCGACAACAUCGCAGAAAAAAAUGGACAAGUGUCCGGCAGUAGAAUUAGGGGUACCUCGGUAUCCACUUAAAAAAAAUAUACCCCAUGGUCCCUCUAAUAAGCAAUAUGCCAGCAAGAGUUGACAAAGAUUUUAAUUUCCAAAGUUUUUGAUCUAAGAGUAUGACAUUCCCCUCCUCGGAUCCCGUUUUGAUCAGGCAAUAAAUGCAAAGUAAGUAUGCUUGAGAAUUUUUGCAAAAAUAAAACAGCCUCAGUGAGAUAUAUACAAAAGAUAAUGAGUGAUCUGAGAGAACCUAUGAGGAUAAAAAGGUAUGCUAACUUUCUUUCAAAAAUAUACAAAAACUCCAAGUGACAGGAUUGAGAAGAAAGGAUCUCUACUCUUAACCAUAAACUUCCCUGACUAUGGUACAUAGUGGAAUUUUUAACACCCUGCAAUUAUAUAAAGAAUGUUUUAAAUGUUUUACCCCAGAUAUUGUUCUUAACCAUCCUUUUCUCGAGGACGAGUAAAAGCCUAAGUAUGUGGGUAUUUGUUGACGGUUCUUAAGUAUCAAUUUUAAUUAUCAAAUAAACAAGAGAAAGGACCAAUAUGCAACUAACACCUAGAAUUAGGGUUUGAUCUGACAGAAUUCCACGAGUUUUGUUGUUUAUCUAUUUCUGCAGGGGGUUAUCAGGAAAUAAGGAAGAAAGGCCCACAUGUCGGGAUUACAUAGAGAUAUCAACACAUCGCACGAUUUUCCACCAUCUAGAAGACUCCAGAAGCCACGGGAAGAAGACUGAGGCUGAAAGGGGCUAGGCCCAGGGCGCCCGCCCUGGUGACCUGGGCGCCCGCCCCAUGCUGGAUUGCUUUCAGGACUCUCUUCGCUCGGGAUAUUCCACCGACCUAUUGGAUCAAGAAAAACAUAGUACCACCUCGCCUAUCGACCCAAAAACGCAUAGAAGGGGAGGACUAUAUAAGGAGACCCCCUGGCCCCUGGAGAAGACAUGAAGAAAUUAUCAUAGAGAUUGAGGGGUGCCCUCGAAGGAAAACCUCUUCUCUAAUUAAUAUUUCUUUUUAGGCUUAGCAAUCAAUGUAAGGUAGAAAUAGAUCUUCUAGUUUCUACUAGAUUGAGAGAGAUAGAGUGGAGGUGUUGAUUGGAGGAAGCCCGGCCUGUCGGUGUCUACUCCAAGCUUGUACCUUGCGGGAUCAAGUUCUCCUAACCCGAAGCUUGCUCCUAGGAUUCUUCAGUAAUUCGACUUCUAAAUUCUAGUAAGUUCUUGUUUUAUUGUUCUUAUGGUUUAUGAGUUUACUUUAAUCUCUUCGCGUAGAGUUUAGAGUAAUCAUUGCUGGCGUAAACGUGGUGUUUAGGCUGGGGUACUCAUAGAUAUUCCCUGACUAGCUGGACCGUGGUAGUAGUGAGGAACGUGACAAUUCCGAGCUACCUUUGUAGAUCACAUCUCGUUAGCAGGAAGGAUAGGGUUUAUUGGUGCGGGUUGAACAUCCUUUGUGGUGUCUAGAUUCCGUUAGCCUCCCCAUUAGAACAGUAGAUCAUCCUUACCAAGGUUAGAAGGAGACUACGGUUGCAGUCUUCUCUAUUUAUCACUCACAUCGAAAGACAUUCUUUGUGCCUAAAGGUUAGUAGUAAUAGACCGGUUAGUCAGAUGCACUCUUUCUCCUAGUGGUAAAAAAAUAAAUACGAUACUCUGGAUAAUUUCCCGGGUGAAGUGCUCACCGAUAUCCGUGCGCUUGCGGAUCAAUUCCUUAUUGCGUUCCCAAAUAUCAACAGUUCUCACCUAACCCGGCAGUCACGGGAAGCGUGAUAGGGAGCAAGCACCCAUCCAAUCGCCCUUUUUGCAGCCUUGUCCACCAGAUGAACCAGAGUAGGUCAGGGCGCAGUGAGACGGUCGGAACGUCUUGUCACGACCCCCCUCGAGACGCCCAAAGUCAGCGCUCCUAUCAGCAAGGCUUUGCGUGGCGUUGGACCCUCGAGUGAACACUUUCCUUCCCAAAGAAGAGUCAGGCGGUGAAAGACAACACCUCAACAACUCUGACGCGACAGCAGCCACGACGUACAGGUGUGCCCACGGUUAAGCCGAUCCAGGACGGCGCGCAGGAGCCGAAUUCAGAGGCACGCGUAAUCAUCAUCCAAGUACUGAGUAACAAGACGGCUUGAGGCCACGCCAGUACGGAAGCCUCGAGUAGGUCAGCGCACCACGCAUCUAUCGACCCCUACUCUAUCACCUACGCCAUGUAACCUAGGUCACCCCUUGGAACUAUAAAAGGGUAGGCACAGGAAAGGAUAGGGGACACAAGACAUACCUAGAAGAACAACCACACUUCAUCUCCCACCAUCCACACAAUACCGACUUGUAUUCACCCCUGUACAAGCACUUAGGUGCAAGAUAAUAGAAACAUCUCCUCCCCACCCGACGUAGGGCCUUCUCUUGCCCGAACCAGGAUAAACCUUUGUGCCUUUCUUGCAUCACCAUCUGGGAAAGGGAACACGCACACAAGUUUCACUCGUUGGAGUGACCCCCCGUGGGGAAAACACCGAUAGAUAUAAAUAUUAAAACUGUGGGCAAUUGCUUUGUUCAAGUCAUUGUUUAUUUCUUGUGGUUUUGGUUGAGAGAAUUAUCAUGCUCCAAAGAUCAAGAUCGUUUUGUUUUAAAAAUAUAAAAGAUUCACUCUUCCGAAGUAUUAUUGCAUUAGAGGCAUGAGACUAUGCAAAAAUUUGAUUAAAAAAAAGAGUGAGACGAGAGGUAAAAAUGGACAAGUGUCCAAAGUAGAAUUAGGGGUACAAAGAUACCCACCUGAGUGGAAAAAAUGGACACAUGUCUGAUAGUAGAAUUAGGGGUACUUGGUGCCCACUUGAAAAAAAGAAAAAAAAGAGAGAGAGACUGAAAAAAAAGAGAGAAAAAAAAAUGAUAGCCCAUGGUCCCUCUAAUAAGCAAUGUGCUAGUAAGAGAUGACAAACUUUUCAAAAAGGUCAAAGGUAUUGAUGUAGGAGUAUGACAUUCCUCUCCCUUGCUCCGAGCAUUGACAUAGCAAAAUGCAAAGUAAGUAUGCUAAAACUUUUAAAGCUCUACUUAUAUAUCUUUCGAGAAGAAGGCAAAUGCCUCAGUUUUAUUUUGGAAACUUACAAAAAACUCCAGAACAAAGGUAAGACAGAAGAACUUGAGACAUAGUGCUUGACUUGAUCGUUCUGUUUUUCAAUCACUUAAGAGCUUAGUGAUAACUUAAUAACCCUGUAGUAAGAGGCAUAAAAGUAACCCCAGUUUUUUUCUGAUUUUAGCUUUGCUCAGGGACGAGCAAAGGUUAUGCUUGGGGGAGCUUGUUGACGGUCCUUAAUGCUCACAUUUAACCGUCAACUAAUCAUGGAAAAGGACUUAUAUACAACUGUUGGGUAUUUUAAACGCAAAGAGAAAAAUCCGCAAGCGCACGGAUACCGAUGUAGCCUUCACCCGGGAGUAUUCCAGAGUAUCGAUUUUCCACAGAGAACGUGAGUGUACUAAUUAAGAUCCAAGAUCGCCCAAGGAUAACUAUAUAAUUAUUUUUGGUGGGAAGAGAGGAAGUUUCCUGAGAGUUCUCUAGUUGAUCUAAGAAUCAAGAAUUACUUCAAGAUUAUUUAUAUCGGGACAUCAGAGCACUAACCACAGAAAGAGAUGAGAAGGGGGCUAGGAAGGUCUGACUACGGUCCUACAAACACCGAUCCGAACGUGGUGGAAUACGUCGACCGUUAGGGAUGUCACUACCCUAAGGCUACCACAACAAUCCGCAGGAUUGGGUGCAAUUCCAGGUAAUUGCAAGACUAAACACCACGUCUAAUCUAUUAAUUACUACUCUAAUGUUUCAAAGAUUAGAGCACUUGAUGCAAGCGGGAAUCCAAUAAAUAACUUGAAUGUAAAUAAAAGUAAUUAGAGAACUCAGGAGUUAUGAGUUGAAGAACCUAGAGAACGAUGAAGAACGAACCAGAUGUUGCAAAAGUACAAUGUUGAGGAAGAUCCGACAGAUCCGGCUCCUCCUCCGCUCUCCUCUUCUCUCUCCCUAUUUUCUAGAUUACAACUAGAACUAACUAGAACUAGAACUAGAGGAACUAGAACUAGAACUAAAUGAACUAGAACUAGAUCUAGAUGAACUAGAGGUAGAACUAGAAGAACUAGAGGGAUCCUCUCUACUUGGAUGAAUAAUUGAAACCCCUAGCUUUGAUUCUGUAGAAGAGGUAUGAUCUCCAGGGGCCAGGGGGUCUGGUUUUAUAGUCCCUUCAAGUGAAUCUGGGCCGUCGGAUCAAACCGACAUUGAUCGUGUGGUUCUCCUUGAUCCUUUAGGUCGGUGGAGCAUAAUCCGCGAAACGUGUCCUGAUUGGGCACUGUAGCUGGGCGGGCGCCCUGCCUCCGAGCCCGAUUUCCUUCCCGUUCGUUCCCGUGGCUUCUGGAGUCUUCUAGAUGAUAGAAAAUUGCGCGACACGUUAAUAUCUCUAUGUAAACCUGACGUGUGGGCCUUUCUUCCAUAUUUCCUGAUAACCCCCUGCAGAAAUACACAAACACCAAAACUCGUGGAAUUCUGUCAGAUAAAACCCUAAGUCUAGGUGUUGGUUGCAUUUGGAUCCUUUUCCAUGAUUAAUUGAUGGUUAAUUGUGAGCAUUAAGGACCGUCAACAAGCUCCCCCAAGCUUAACCUUUGCUCGUCCCUGAGCAAAGAUGAACUCAAGAGUUUCUGAAGUGGUUUCAUAACUUAAAGAUACACAUGCGUUUAAACAAGAUCUCAUAUCUGGUUAGAGUAAACUGUUAAGACUUAAAACUUACUCAUUUACCUUUCACCAUGGGACUUGUAACCGUCACUUCUGUCUUGAGUAGUUAAAAGAUAGAACGGUCUAGUCAAGCACCAUGUCUCUUAUUCUUGAUCAGCUAUAGCUCUAGAGUUUUUGCAGAUUUUCAAAUAAAACACAGAGAUUCCUUGUAUGACUCUCUCUAGUCUCUCUUUUGUGGUAUUUCUAGAUCCUUACCAAGGCAUUAAUGGUGUAUGCCUUCUCUCAAAGUAUGUGGUAUUUGUGGUAUAAGGCAUAGUGGCAUUGCCUUCUCUCUCACCCUACUCUUAUAAGGUUUUGAUAUCUGGAGCUCAUAGGUGGGAGACAGCUAAUACAUACUUACAAGACAUUUAUUGCAUAGUCAAACCAUGGAUCCAGAAGAACAAGUCAAUAAGUCAAAUCAAGAUGUGCAUGUGUGGUGAAUGAAUGGUGUAUGGUGAUGAUGGUUAUAACAAUGGUGAAAGUCUAAUUCUACUUAUGCUCUUUUGAGGGGAUACAUACCUUUCUUGCUCUUUUGAAACUUUUUGAGGAGAAUGAGAUGCUCUAUAUAUUUUUUUCUUUUCUCUCAGGUGGGUAUCUUGUGCCCCUAAUUCUACUGUCGGACACUUGUCCAUUUUUACCUCUCGUCUCACUUUUUUUUUAGGUUCCGGGCACUUGCCCCUUUUUAUUUCCUCGUAUUUAUUUUUUUUCUCUCUCUUUUUUUUCUUUUUUUUAGAGCACUCAUCUCCUGAAAUAAUAUAGCAAGUGGUAGUAACCAAGAUAACUUGUGCAUUUAUUUCACAGGGGAAAAACAGAAAUAUUUUUGGCUAUUCUCUCUCGGAUUAGGAGUAGAAUAUUUUUGGGUGGUUCUGGAGAUGGAAAUGGAUGGAUAUAUGUGGAUGCGUUCUUCCGAAGUAGAAGUAGCAUGUAUGAGUGAACGUGCAAGUGAAUCUUGAUUUAACCACAUGACAAGCUCCUAAGGGUCUACACAGCUUGACCACACUCAAUGCUCAUAAGUAGUAAAAAGUAAAUGUGUGGCUCAUAGUCUAACAAGCAUGUAUAUAUGGCUGUGGUAGGAAUUUAAACUCUCAUCAUACGGGAACUCAUCAUGCAACAUUUUAAAGAUUUUCAAAGAUAAAAUUCUCCAGAAUUCUAGCAUCCCUAGGAACACAUAAACAACAGCUUAACCUUCCCAUAUCAUAUCCGUUAACAACUUAGACUUUAGAUCAAGUACUCUCCCCACAAGUUCAGGUUUAGAGCAAAUCUUAAUUAAUAACAGUCAUGCCUAAACUUGAGAGAGAUUUCAAUUUUGAUAACUAGUCAUGGUAGAGCAACUAUUCAUCAUUUCCAUGUGAGAGCUUAUUAUGAGGGUUCAUAGCAAACUUUAUUUAUUUAUUUAUUUAGCAAGCUAAGCAAAGAUAUAUAUAAGCACAAAAUCUUUAUUUGGGUUUUUAUGAUCAUGCAUCUUUUUAUUAUUUGAGUAAAAUAUAAACGUGAGUAGAACACUUAGCUGGAUAAAUGGGGGUGCUCUCCCCCAAGCUGGAUUUUGACGUAAUUUCUUCUGAUGUAGCUAGCAGGUGGCGGAGGUGUAUUUGAAUGUCGGCAGCACUCUGAUAGCGAUUAGGAUGUCCUCCGUCUGCUAGUCUUCUUUGAUCCUUGAAUUUUGUGGAGCUCAAAUAGACAACAAAACUUUGUGGAACUAGUUAAGUGUUAGCAUAAAAACUCUUAGCCGUUAUCAUGUUGAGCUUCCUCUAAUAAAUUUUACUCUCUUUGGUAGGAUCAUAAAUCUAUUUUUAUAAUUUUAUUUUUAUAGGACAGGAAUAUAUUUACUUUAUUUUUAUGCCACCAUAGUGAAUGUACUUAUGGGUUUUAUGCCAUGAGCAUACUCACAUGGGGCUUACUUAACAUUUUUAUUUUCUAUUCAAGAUGAUAUGAACCAGAUUAACUAAGCAAACUAUUUUAAAAUAAUUGAAAGGAAAAAGAUAACUACCAAGUUUACCUCUUGGCAAGGCGUUCGGUGUUUUUAAGUCCUCCGAACGGGACUCUCCGUUUUCUCAGUCGUCCUGGAAUUCGCUGGAUGGCGUAGUCGGUGGUUCCGGCGGUGCCUCCUCUUUAUGUAUAACUAUCUUCUCUCUACACACCUGACUCGGUGCUACGGUCUCCUCAGGACAGUUCUGUUCAAGUUGUAUGUCUUCAGACCUUACGACUUCUCCUUCAUAGUCUGCCCAUCCGUCCUUGAUGAUUUGCCUCCUCUGGUUGCGGUUGCGUCGUCUUCUUCUUGCCCUGACCUGCUUAGAGUCAUCAGCUAUAUAGUUAGGGUCAGUAAAAUAGCGGCGUACCUUCUCAGAGGGGGAGUUCAUGUGGACUUCUCCGGUUCCAAUGUAGAUGAUUGCUUUAACAGUGCUGAGGAACGGUCUUCCAAGGAGGAUGGGUGGAUCGUACUUGUCUUCUCCCAUGUCAAUAACCUUAAAAUCAUCUGGAGCUAAAUGUAUGUUGGUUGUAGGGACAUGGUUCCAUGCAGGAGCUGAUAAGUGACUGCGGCCAUUAUAUUGACGUUAGAUCCGGUGUCGUAGAGUGUCUUCUGAAAAGAAUAUCCGUUGAUUGUGCACUCGAUGCUUGGGACACCAGGGUUGUCCUUCUUGAUCAAGAAAGGUGACUUGAGUUGACGAUCUUGACCUCCUUGAACUGCAGUGACCAUCUUAGCUGACUCGGUACACAUUUGCUUGUUCCUGUUCCUCCUGUUGGUCCUCUUCCUUGGUUCAUGUCGGGAAUGCUCUGAGAUUUGUGUAGUCUUGUUUCUUGAAGGAAAACGUCUCCUUCUUCCCCUUGAUGUAGAAACUGAUCUUGGCAGCACUAGCAUAGAUGACAGCUCUUGAGGUGUUCAGGAAUGGCCUCCCUAGGAUGAUGGGUGCCCUCUCAUCAGUACCAGUCUCUAUUACCAAGAAGUCUGCUGGGGCGUACAAGGUACCAACUCAGACGCAGAGGUUCUUCAAUAUCCCCUUUGGGAAACUUAGUGUCUGAUCUGCAAGCCUGAGCAUAAUGUUGACGCUGGAGCCAAAGUUACAGAGUGCUUCUAGG